rnacentral:lncRNA from 1 species
AAAAAAAAAAAAAAAAUAUUGUCUCUCUCCCUCCCUCCAGCUCUCGUUUCUCCCAAUCUGCUAUUCCCCCGAGCCACCGAGUGAAACCCGACCCUGCUGACUCGCCACUGCAAUCGUCGCACCUGCUCAUUACCAAACCACUUGCAUCCCCCCAUCACUUGCAUGACCCACUGCCGCCGCACUUGAUCUGUGAUGCCCAUAACCUGCACCGUUGCCAGAACGCAGCCAAUCCCGAACCACCAUGAUCCGCACCUACUGCUGCUCGACCCAUCGCAAACCUGCGCCUACCUGACCACCUGCUGUCUGCAAUCUGUACCCCCUAUUUGAAAGACAAACACGAUGUGUCUCCUCCGGCGAAUCUAAGGCACUUCGAUGAUCAAUCUCAAGAUCCACCGUCGCUCAUCGAUCAAUUGAUCGAUCCCAUUUCGCCUUUGAAAUCUAAAAUCCAUUUUUAUUUCCUUGAUUUGUUAGAUUUAGAUUGUGUUUGUUAUCGACUAGCGUCAAUCGCAUUGAAUAACGGCACCGCCAGGAUCGGCAUCACGCCGUCGUCUGGGUUUGCGGGCCCGGGGGGGGGUUGGGUUUGCCCUUCGAAUUAGCGGAAAACCGUCGAAUAGCCACCUCCGGUGAGGUUUCAGUUUGUUCUUCGAGUUCGCCGUCGAUAGGAGGGAGGGAGGGAGAGAGAUGAGAGAGAAUUGGAAGAGAUUUUUUAUAUUUAACUUAUUUUUAUAUUUUUUAAUAUUUAAUUACUUUUUUCAAUUCAAUUGGGUAAGAGAGUAAGUAGUAAUUAACAGAUAAAUUAACAGUUUUUUUAACGGAGAUUUAUAAUAUUGCAACAAAUUUGUAAAAUGAGAUAUGAUUUUGUAAUUUUUAAAAUAUGAAAUAUAAAAUUAUGAUUCGACCUAUAAUUGAGAUAUUUUUGUUUAAUUUACCCAAGAAACUUUAUGCGGAAGAAACAUGGUGAAUUCAUAACGCUUUUUGAGUUGACAUGAGCACGAAUGUGUGGGUCACUCCCAUUGUGAUACAUGUUCGAUCUACGUGAUUAAGACCAGGUUUGUGAUCAGUUUGGCAAUUAGCAUUUUACUAAUUAGCUAGCUAGUUAGAUUAACCCAAAAGAAAAACAGAAAAACACCUGAAAACCCUAGGAGACCAAUCUAAUUGGAGCUGGUUUUAAAACCAACCGGCUGGUUCAUCCUUAUUGGUUGGCUUCUAACCAUUUAUUUUUUAAAUGAUGAUUUUUGUUAGGAAAAUGCUAAAUAACCACGUUUUAGACCAUAUCUUGUAGAUCACAUGAUAUGGUUGUAUUCCUUCUUUAAUGAUUUGAAAAAGAAACCAAACCAUUAAACGCCACAUCAUAUUUCUCUCCAUUGCAUCAACCCUCAUCUAUUGGGGUUGUGUUCUUCACCUUUAAAUCUUGUAUUUGUGCCCUGGGUUAUCCAUGAAAGAUAUUUCAUUUAAAAAAAAAAAAAAGACCGAGUCCCCUAAACACGCAACCAAACGUACAUGUUUUCACAUGCACUACAUGAUAUGAACGAAGAGUAUACAUUAAAUAAUAUAGUCAUAAAGUUUAGAGGGUAAUAAUAUGAGAGAUUUUUCAAUAUAACCGGUAUAUGGGGUGAUACAUCAUGUGUCAUUAUACAAAUUGUGGGAUAUGUGUGCUAAAAAGUUAAUAACUUAAAAAAUAAAAAUUUUCACCACUUUUAUUAAAAUACGUAAUGUACUAUUUGUGUUCCAUUCACAACUAAAAAUUUCUCCAAUAAUAGAGAAGGUUUCAGUCACAAAAAUUAAUACACAAGGAUGAGUCAGGCUAAUCUUUUUCAUAAUAAUAUAUAACAUAAUGAGGCUAUGAUCUAAAGUCAAAGAAAACAUUAAAUUUCUUAGAUUUUAAUAUAGGUAUUGCUCAUCCAUAGAUAAUACUUGAUUUUAAUAUAGGGAUGUACUGUACAUGCUUUGCCUGGACAGAUUUACUCCAUAUUGUACAUGCUUCUUGCAAGAUUUAUUUGAUUUCAAGUUUCGUAUGGAGUAAAUCUGCCCAGGCAAAGCAUGUACAAGACAUCCCUCAUUUUUCGUAUAUAUUAUCUCUAGCACAAACGUGGAAACAAAAAAUUAAAACGUAUAUAUGAUUAUCGAACGAGCCUUCAACUUUGAAACUUAAUUUUCAAAGUAAUAAUUAUAUGCCAUAACAAAUGUAUAUCUCGACAAAAAGGAAUGGACCUAUUCAUUAAGCAAAGUGUGCAAAUUGCAAAGUGAUAGGCAGCUUCAAAGAAUGAGAAUACUUCUUUCGCUUUUACUUUUUCUGUUGAUGAACCACUAGUUUUGAUGGAUCGAGUUAUAGCGUCUCUUAAAAUGAAAAUUGAAAGGUUAAGAAAGAAAGAUUAUAAUAUUAACGAUUAAUUUACGUUACUUGACCAUAUUCUUUACUUUUGUUCUCCUUUUCCUUAUAGAAAGAACAAUUUGCGAUUGCAAAUUGUUUGGUAACCAGAGGCUAAGUUCCAUCCUUUAUCGCAAUCAGUAGCACCUAAACCUAUUUUUAACCUUUUAAGUUGUGACCAUGAUGAUCAUAUUCCCAACUUUGGUACUUGAUGUGACCGUAUUCAAUGGCGGAUUUAUAUAUGAAUUUUUCUUCUCAUAUGAAGUUGCUGAAAAUUUGAAAGCUUGAACGACAAUUUAUAUAUGAAUUUUUCUUCUCAUAUUAAGUUGCUGAAAAUUUGAAAGCUUAAACGACAAUUUGGCUAGUUAUUCUUAACUACUUAUUGUGUCUCAGCCACUUUGUAGCAUAUGUCAAGCAUCUUGUCUCCACAAUAGCUAUGCUUAAGAAGAGGAUAUCCAAAGAGCAUUGUGAAACUUCAUGCUUAAUUAGCAUAAUAGUUGGAGGUGGGGGCACUUGCAUAUAAUAUGACUCCUAUGUGGAUUCAUCAGUAAUUUGAUGGUGUAUAUUAGAUUAGAAAAGUUUUAAACUGUUUUCUUUAAUACAUAAAAUAUUGAAAGAUGAAAAAUCGAAGCAAAGAUUUCCGGCGUAAAGAUGAAUAUCUUAACCACUAGACUUCCAAUUAUCCUUGUAAUUAUGAAAUGGUUACUAGUUACAUAAAGAAAAUCAAGGGAAGGCUGCAAUAAGGCAGAUCAUUAUUAAUUUUAUGUGAUUAUUGUGAGUGCUACAUUCAUUUCAUAUGUGACCCUCAACUCCCCCACUAAGAUGUUCUGCGCGAGCGCAUCCAUGUGCUUGACUUUUUAAACAAUUUUGGUAUGGCCAUGCAUGCAUGGAAGUCAUUCUUGAGGGCUAUGGUUUAAAGUAGAGCCUCCUUCCUACAUCUUUCUUAUAUAUCGUUCGUUCUUCACCUUGAAUCAAAACCCCACACGGUGAAAAGUUUCCCACUUUCACCUUAAAAAACUCCAUUUUCCAAAUUGGAGGGCCAUUUCUUCUUUCAAAGUUUAAUUUGUUUCAGUGUUGAGUGCCCACGCCCAGAUGAUUUAGUGGGGAACAUAAUGAAAAGUGGUGAACCCAACAUUGUCACGCCCAACUACCAAUAUUGCUAUGAUGCUAUUCAUCCAACAUCCAUCCCUAUCGUUCGUUAAUUUUUGCCCUUUUAACAAACCCUAGCUAGUCGGUACUUGAUAUUGUUUGUGGUUCCUGGAAAGUCCCAGACCUGACUACUUGGUAAUGCUAGGAAUUAUAUCAGUGAUGUAGUGGAUUUUGCUCCAUGAUUUAUGUUUGUUCCACCUGGGUUGGCUGAUGCACAUCCUUCUGGCUUGAGAAAGGCAAAUGCACUGAAUAUGAUCUUAAAAGUUGUAAAGUGCAUCCACUACAUAUUGUCUUUUCAGCUGUCUAAUGAUAAUUCUGUCUAAGAAAUAGAUACUGCAAGAGACUUGUGACUCAAGUUUUUAAGGCUAUUCAAUUCUGCGCUCGAGUUUUAUGUUCGAAUUCCCCCUCGCUAGAACCUGACAUUAAGUGCUGAAUAAUCAGUCCACACAUGUGGUGGGGGUCGAAACCUCAGGUGUUCGAUAUAGUUGAUGGACCUGUAUAUGGCGGUUCUAUUUCUUGGUCAAAACACUCGUGAAAAUUGGUGGCCAAACAGAAAACUUAGAUAUUUUUGUCUGGAGAUAAAAGGCCCAACUUUUCUCAAUAUGUGACCAUAGGAUCAUGGAGAUGAUCAACCGUAAUGUACUGUUGUGACCAUAUCAUCUAGAGGGAGGCAUGAUAUAUAAAGAUGUAGAUGUUAACUACAUUGCAAAAGAUAAGAUUGGUACAAAAGAAGAUGGUGGAGAGAGAAACAAGAGACAAAGAUUGAAGAGGAAAGUGAAAGCUUCUGAAUUGAUAUUAUCUGAUACAAUAGUUUUCGCUAGUUAUGAAUAUAACCCGCAUUCUGAGCAACCUAACAAACUUCUAACAAAGCUAAAAACUCAACAUAUCAAAUGAUGUUAUUUGUCCACUGCAUCCAACAUACCAGAUAGUAAAACAUGUCACUUAAUAGUGUAAACAGAGAGAGAAGCAACAAUCUUGGAGAGGAAGAAAACAUAGUUGUAGAGAGAGAAAGUAUAUUUUUGUAUUGAAUGAAUAUUGAUUACACUUAUACACUAUGUAUAUAUCUAGUUACAUUGCUUAGCUACUAAGCUAAUACAAGGCUCUCAAGAUGUUGACACUUGUCACAAUCUCAACACAUAGAAUCCUAACCAACUUAACUACCUCACACACAUGCACAUAUUAUAGUUAUCAUCCUCCCUCAAUCUCAGAAUGAGGCUUGCCAAGUUUAAGAUUGUAACAGUGUGUUUGGUACAAAGAAGUAGACAAACCCUUUGUAAGAAUAUAGCAAAUUGUUCAUUCGAGGAAACAAACUGCACUUGCAGAAGCUUCUUUGCAACCCUUUCUCAGACAAAAUGUACAUCAACCUCAAUAUGUUUGGUCAUCUGAUGCAUGACUGGAUUGUAAGCAAGGGCUAUGGCAAAUAGAUUAUCACAAAACAAUGUUAUUGGACAAGAAACAUCAAUCUGCAUAAAUUGGAGAAGCUGUUUGAUCCAAUCAAUUUCUCCUGAAGUACUUGAAAGUGCUCAGUAUUCAGCCUUUGUAGAUGAUCAAGAGACUAUAUUUUGUUUCUUAGAGGACCAAGAAAUAGGAUUUAGCCCUAGAAACAUAACUAAACCGGUGGUAGACCUUCUGUCAUUAGGAUCUCCAGCCCAAUUAGCAUCACUAAAUGCAUGAAGAUCGAAGUCUCAUUUGCUAAACUGAAUUCCAAGCUCAGUAGUACCCUUCAAAUACUUGAGAAUCCUCUUCACACAAACGUAAUGGGAAUCCAUAAGACAAUGCAUGAACUGACAAACCUGAUGAACUGAGAAUGAGAUAUCAGGCCUGGUGAAAGUGAGGUAUUGAAGAGCACCCACAAUACUCCUAUAGAGAGAGGGAUUAUUGAAAGGAUGUCUAUCAUUUUUCAAUAACCUGUUAUAUGGUAAGCAAGGUGUUGAACAAGGUUUAGAAUGAACCAUGUCUGCCUUAACCAACAAAUCAUAAACAUAUUUAGAUUGAGAGGGAAACAUUCCACUUGCAUUCUGUGUGAUAUGAAUCCCAAGGAAAUAAUGGAGAUGACCUAAAUCUUUAAUAUCAAAUUCCAAUUUGCAAAUUGUUAGGUUGAAACUCAUUUUGUAUGGCAAUACCAUUGUCACUAGGAAUCUCAGAAGUAGAACCAGUAGAGUUCUCAGAGCAUGACCCAUUUGGAAUCUCAGGAGUCAUAGGGAAUGAAAAAGAGGAUUGUUGACCUGUGGAUGCAGUAAUGGACUGUAAUGAAUUGAGAGUACCAGUUUGUUGAUCAGAAUGUUGAGGUGGCAUAGUAUCAGGCAUAAUAGGUGUCUUAAAUGAUGGGAAGGACACUAUAUGGUUGACACCAUUAAGUGAUAUGGAUGGAGAUGAUGGUGAGACCACAGAUGUAGAAGUGGAUUUGAUGGAGACAAGACAUUUAACAGAUAAGGUGGGAUAUGAGAAUUCUGACUUAUCAAAAACUACAUGUUUGGAAAUAUAAAACUUGGUAUGAAUAAUAUCAUAAUAGAUGAACUCCUUGUAUUUGGAAGCAUAGCCUAGAAAAAUGCAUUUGGUUGUCUUGGGUUGUAAUUUGGUAAUGUUAUAUGGUUUUAAUAAUGGAAACACUGAGCAACCAAAUAUUUUGAGAUGUUGAAUAUCUGGAACACUAUUAAACAGCAGUUCAAAAAGAGAUUUAUUAUGAAGUGUAGGUGAGGGCAUUCGAUUUAUAAGGUAGACAGUAGUUUGGCAGCAAAAGACCAAAAAAUUGGGGGUAAGAAAGUUGUUUGCAAUUGGGUUAUAGCUGUUUCAAUGAUAUGCCUAUGCUUCCUUUCUGCUAAACCAUUUUGCUUAUUGUGUAAGGGCAUGACAGUUGAUGUUUGAUUCCUUUUUUUCCAACAUGAACUUUUGAAAUGGUUUACUAAGGUAUUCUCUUCCACCAUCACUUUGUAAUGUUUUGAUGGAAGUGGCAAAAUGAUUGGAGACAAAAUUAUAAAAACAAUAAAAGUAGAGAAAACAUCACUUUUAUUGAUAAUGGGAAACAACCAACAAUGUCUAGUGCAUUCAUCAAUGAAUGUCACAUAGUACCUAAAACCAUCCAUGGAAUUACAAGGAGAUGGACCCCAUACAUCAUUAUGAAGGACUUGAAAGGGGUGUAGAGACUUAGACACAAAGGGCAAUUUACAAAAUUUGCCUUUCAGACAUGUAUGACACAUCACAAAAAAUGAAUCAGGUAAUACAGACACAUUACACUUCUUUAACAUGAGAGAAAUCAUAGAGUUGGAGGGGUGAUUAAAUUAUUACGCAAGAGACUAGAAGAUACUUGAUGCCCAAGAUAAGCAGCCCGAGCCUGAGAAGGGAUAUCACUAAUCGUUGCUGGAAGUGGUAUUAGGUACAAUCCAUUACUGCAUUAGCCUUGAAAGAAAAUCCUCUUUGUGGCUUUGUCUUAGAUCGAGAAACAGAAAGCAUCAUAUAUCAGCCAACAAUUAUUAUCUAAGCAUAGUUUAUGCACAAAUAAAAGGUUCUAAGAUAAUCCAGGAACACAAAGUACUAAAUUAAGUUGCAAGGGUUUUAAAGAAGUAUGUAGAGUGGAUGAACCAAUAUGAGAUAUUGAUAAACCUGCACCACUCAUAGUCUAAAUGGUUUCAUUGGUAGGAUAUGAGGAUUCCAAUGACAAAUUACUCAAAUCAGCAGUCAUAUGUGAAGAUGCUCAAGAAUUAGUGAGCCAAAGUGGUUGAGGAAGAGCAGUUGGUUCAUGAUGUUGUGAUGUAGAAAUAUGCAUACUGUUGGAGCUUGAAUGGAAAUGUUAGAGUUCCUAAAAUGACAAUAUUUAGCACUCUGAUUCUUUUUUUUCACAUAUUUGACAACCCUCAGAAACUAUACUAUCAGAAUUCUUGAAUUUGCAUGUAGGAGCUAGGUGUCCAAACUUGCCACAAAUUUUACAAGAUGUACUAGAAAAUCCCUGUUGCCUUGGUGGAGAAGUACCAAGAAUGCCAGGAGCUGGAUUCACAUUAUAAUUUCCAUAGGUACACUUGGAAUUUCUAAAACGAGACUGAGAAUUGUACUGAAAUUUUCCCUCGUUUUUGUUCUUACUAUAGUUUGGCUUGAACCCAUAAUUACCAGAAGAAUAGAAAGUUGAUUGAGAAGAACCACCAUAGGAAUUACCAUUCAAAUGAUUCUCAGCUUUGGAAAAGUCACCAUAAGGCUUGGAGUCAUUGCCAUUAUUUCGAGCAACCAUGGCAGACAAGAAAGGUGUAAUGGGAACAUUUUCAACCAUGGCUUCCUCAGCAAGUAACUAAGAUCUGAGAUCUUUCAUGGAAAUAACUUCCUCACAGCCUCAAAUAAUCGAUCUUAGAAUAUUGUAUUCAGAAGAGAGACCAUUCAAGGUCAAAAUAACAAUAUCAUCAUCGUCGAAUUGAACUCCAGCAACAAACAGAUAAUCACGACCUUGUUUAAUGUGUUGCAAAUAUAAUGAAAUCGAGUCGGUACCUUUCUUGAUGUUUUGUAACUCAGAUUUCAUAUGAAAGAUUGUAACUCGAGUGACAAUUGAAAAUUGUUCUUUGAGACGCAGCCACAAUUCACGGGCAUUGGAACUACCAAUUGCACAAGAAACUGUUGAAUGAGAUAAAAUGGCUGUGAGUAAUUGCAUCAAUGCUUGAUCGUGUAUUUUCCAGAUCUUGAACUCAUCACUUUUGAUUGAAGAAGAAACAUCACUUGAAGAGACAGUUGAAUCCCCAUAAGUAGGCAUAUUGAGUCGAGCAGGACAGGGAUAAGACCCAUCCAUAAAACCCAUAAGAUCAUGACCUUCAAGAAGCAAUUCGAUCUGAAAAUUCCAAGUAAUAUAAUUGGAAUCAUCCAGUUUGACAAUCACAGAAGAAUGGAAUGUUGAUAUGAGAGACGUUAUCGGAGAUUGAAGAAUUUGCAGUUGAGUAGAAAUCACCAUUGUAGAAGAACAAGGAAGAAACCCAAAUGAAAAUUUCUCUGAGAAAUUAUAACAAACAAUUGGUGUGCAAAGAGGAAGAUGCACCCAAUCGAAGAUGCAGAGAGCAAUCAAGAUCCCAAGAAGAAGAAGAAGACCGAUUAGUGAUUGCAAAUAGUGAGCGGAAGCAGAAAACCAAGAUCAAGAAACUGUCAAGCUGAAGCUUUUCAAGUUAAAGAUGCAAUGUAAACAGAGAGAGAAGCAGCAAUCUUGGAGAGGAAGAAAGUAUAGUUGUAGAGAGAGAAAGUAUAUUUUUGUAUUGAAUGAAUACUUAUUACACUUAUACACUAUGUAUAUAUCUAGUUACAUUGCUUAACUACUAAGCUAAUACAAGGCUCUCAAGAUGUUGACACUUGUCACAAUCUCAACAUAUAGAAUCCUAACCAACUUAACUACCUCACACAGAUGCACAUAUUAUAGUUAUCAAAUAGUACAGUAGGUGAAGCAGUAGAUUAAACAACAAUUUGACAUGUGCAAAAUUGGUGGCAAAUUCAUAGCAUUGUAUUUUGGCUAUGUGGCUAACACGGGAUUUUAAGUAAAGUUGGUUCGGUUCUAAUCGGUUCGGUUUUUUCCCAAAAUCGAAACCGAACCAAAAUUUCAAUUCGGUUCGGUUCAAUUUUUUUCGGUUUUUUUUUGUUCGGUUUUUUUUUUCCUUCCAAAAAAUGAAAAAUUUUGAAAUAUGAAAUUUGAACAUUUCAAACACAAUCAUAAACUGUAAUGAUGCAGUCAAAUUCUUUCAUGUUGAAUACAUCACAGUAUAAGCCUCUGUUACGUAGAAGGAAUGCUUAAACUUAAAUGUUGAAUACAUCACAUUUAUGAUUUAAAAAUUGUGGAGAUUAAACUUAAAUGUUAAAUUGAGGGGUGAAAACUGUGUUCACCAAAAGGAAUGCUUAAAGGGAUCCUUUCUGCUUUCAAUAAUCAUGGCCCUCAGUUACGCAACUUCCUUUUGCCGUGGGUCGACACCAAAAUUUCUCACAAAUUAAUCAAACUUCAACUAAUAGUCUAAUAGUGUUCAGAAAUUAAAUUAUAUACAAGCAAUCACAAAGUUGCUUCAAUCACUCACAUCUCUUCUCAUCUGAUUAAGGCCCCCAUAGCAAUCCACUCGAAUGAAUCCAUUACUCUUUGAUGGCAGAGCUGCAGAAAACCAAUGCAAUUGUCUGCAAUGAUAGUUAAUUAAGGGGACUGACUCAGAAUAUCAAAAAACUAUGCAGUAACCUCACUUCAAACCUAAUUCUAUUCCCAUCAAUCACAGCCAAAUGCAAUGGAAGCAAAAUAAGUUGGAAUGUACCAAUGAGGUGCCCUUAUAGCCACCACUUGCAAGGUCUCCAUUCUACCAUCCUCCCAACACUCCAUAUAUCCAAUUUGCUCCUGUAUUCGCAAAGUCAAUCAGAAACUCAUACUUUUCGUGGUUUUUCGUCCCAAAGUAACUGCAAAUCCACACUUUAAACUAGUCCUGAAUCACAUCGUAAUUCUCAUUUCUCAGAUUUUAGCAGCAACCCAACUCAGACACCAUCAAAAACACCAAACCCCAGAAGAAAAAAAUCACCCGUUAAUACAAAAAAAAAAAAACAUGGAAGACCUUUGAAUCUAUUUCUUUGCCAUUUAUAUAAUAUGAAAACCCUUCAAGAUCUAAACUUUCCUGCUACUUCUUUACCAAUAAAACCAAUCGAAAAAUUAAAGAUUAAAAAGGUAAAGGAAUGGUAAGAAUAAGUUGCAGUGCAGAACCAAAAUUUCCUACUACUUCCCGGUACUCCCCAACAACCCCAAUUUCUCCAAUAACCCUAAUUUCCCCAACAGCCCCAAUUUCCCCAACAACCCUAAUUUCCCCACAUCGACAGACACUCCCCAGCAUACCCAAAACAAAUUGCAGUGCAUAACCAAAAUUUUUCACAAAUUAAUCAAACCUCAACUAAAAGUCUAAUAGUGUUCAGAAAUGAAAUUACCCAACCAAAUCCAGCAUACCCAAAACAAAUUGCAAAAUCCAUGAACUUGAAAAGCUACAGAUCAGAACCAAUGAAAUUGAAAAAAAAAAAAAAAAAAAUCUGCAAAACGCAUCACGGGGGUGACUGGGUGAGAGACUAACCUUGCAAAUGAGGGAAUUUGUGGGUCGAGACUCGAAAUGGCGAGAAGAAGUCGUGGGUCGCGCGCGGGUCAUGGGUCACGGGGGUGAGAGACUGAUGGUGAGAUGGCAUCAGCGAGAUGUGAGACAGGUCGCAGGUCGCUGGGAAGGAAGAAGACGAAGUGGAGAGAGACCCAGCAAGAGAGAGAGGAGGCUCGACUGCGCGAGAGGGUUACUGGGUUAGGGUUACACUGGAGGCAGGGAAUGAGAGAGAAGAGAAGAGAGGAAUGAAAAAAAUAAAAGGUGUGGCUGCUACUACUAGUGGCUAGGGUUAAAAAGGGUUUUGACGAUUUCUCAAAAAAAAAUUUAAAACUUUUCUGAAAUCCUGGAGGCAUGAGGGUUCGAACCCAUGCGAUGCAGCUUUAAAAAUCUCCCUGAAACCAACUUGACAACAGGUUAUAUUUUGUUAUGAUUGUAUGACUAAACUAUUUAUAAUAUUGAAAAAAAUAAUUAAAUAUAUAUAUAUAUAUAUAUAUCGGUUCGGUUCGGUUUCCGAACCUCAAAAAUCGAAACCGAACUGACCAGAUUCGGUCCGGUUCGGUUUGACAAUUUCAGUUCUUUUUUUUUCGGUUCGGUUUUUUUCGGUCUCGGUCCGGUUUGGUUUUCGGUUUUUUUUCGGUUUUCGAUUUUUUGAACCCACCCCUAAUUUUAAGUUUUAAAGAUAUUUUCAGAAUUUUGUUAUUUCGUAUGGUGUUUCCAAUUAGGCUAGCGAGUCUAGAUUUGAGGUACGGUAUAAAAUAAAAAACUUAUGAUGAGAUAAGGUUGUUAAAUUUUAUAUUUUUUAUACAUAAACUUUGAGAUUUUUUCAUUUCAGAGGUGAGUUCUAAUAAUUAAGGUUAUCGUUUGAUUUUUUUAUUUAUUUGUGACACUACAGUCAUAUAAAAUGUCACAUCCUGGGCUUGAUUCCAUCAUAGCACGAUAUUGUCCGUUUAGGCUCCGACCACGCCCUCACGGUUUUGUUUCUGGGAACUCACACGAGAACUUCCCAGUGGAUCACCCAUCCUGGGAUUGCUCUCCUGCGAACUCGCUUAACUUCGGAGUUCCGAUGGAACCCGAAGCCAGUGAGCUCCCAAAAAGCCUCGUGCUAGGUAGGGAUGAGAAUAUACAUAUAAGGAUCACUCCCUUGGGCGAUGUGGAAUGUCACAAUCCACCCCUCUUAGGGGCCCGACGACCUCGUCGGCACACUUCUAGCCAGGGAUUGGCUCUGAUACCAAAUUUGUCACAUCCCGGGCUUGACUCCAUCAUAGCACGAUAUUGUCCGCUUUAGGCCCCGACCACGCCCUCACGGUUUUGUUUAUGGGAACUCACAUGAGAACUUCCCAGUGGGUCACCCAUCUUGGGAUUGCUCUCGCGCGAACUCGCUUAACUUAAGAAUUCCGAUGGAACCCAAAGCUAGUAAGCUCCCAAAAAGCCUCAUGCUAGGUAGGGAUGAGAAUACAUAUAAGGAUCACUCCCCUGGACGAUGUGGGAUGUCACAUAAAACAUAUGAGGAACUCUAGUCAAAUCCAGAUUAACAUCCAUCCCUUGUAGUUUUGGUACAACAAAGUUUGGUGCUUAUGAAUGGAGGAAAAUGCUAUAUAAAGAAGAUUUUCCAUCCUGAUAUAUAAAAGUGGGUCUAGUGGGUUACUUGUAUAACUAAUAUAGCAUCCUAAUUAAUUAUGCACUAAGCAAAUCAACAAAUGGAGAGAUGCUAACAGUGAUCUUAGAAAAAUUAAGAAACAUUUUCAGAGAAUAUAUUGUUGAGCAUAAAAGUAUUGGAAAAACUUGUAAAUGAUGUCUCGUCAAUAAUUGUACUGGUUAACCCAUAAAUCAUCGUUUGCUCCACAUACCUUCCCCACGAAAGGAUAUUGUUGAAGUGAGCCGGUGAUUAAAGAUGUUGGAUUUAUUGUGGUAUUGUAGUGUUGUACUCAUUGAAUAUCCUUUAGAAUCUUUCUUUAAUUUGGUAAUCUUUAUACAUGCACUAAUCUCACAUGUUGAAACUUGAUGCAGCAUAUCAUCUACAUGUUUGUUCAUUUUUGGAGUAGGUAUGUAGCUGUGGUUUCCGCAUGUCGCAUAAAUCCAGCUCAGAAAGGAGAUGAAGUACAUCCUUAUUGCAAGUGAUAAGGCUCCAAUUACAUUGUAAAAGUAUAUGCUGAAAUCAUCUUCCAACAACUUUCUCUUUUUGGUUGUUGCACAAUAUGCCACGAUUAAAAUAUUUCGCAUAAAUUUUAGAUUAGAAUGAGUUGUUAGCCAGAGAACCAUAUCUUUGUUACAAGUCGAUUUUGUGUGUCAAAUAGCAUUGCACCUUUAGUAAUAAAAACACUUUUUAUAAGUCUAUGCUAGAAUAUUACAUUAUUUCUUUCCUUGCAGGCAGUUUAUGUUCUAGUAAUAAAACCAGUAAAGAGGUCGUACCCAGUGCACAAGGCUCCCGCUUUACGCAGGGUCUGGGAGAGGUGAAUGUCGGCUAGCCUUACCUCCAUUUAUGGAGAGGCUUUUCCCAAGUCUCGAACCCGAGACCUACCGCUCAUGGACGAAGGCACUUGUCAUCGCACCAAGUGCGACCUCUCCAGUAAUAAAACCAGUAAUUAAAAAAAAUAUUGGUAAAAAAGUAUAUCUAUGUAUAUGGAGAGAGAGAGAGAGGGCCUAUCUAUAUACAGUACUAGAAAAUAGGGGUUUGUCAUACAAAACUUUUGCGCGAUCGAUAUUUUAGUUGGUAGGGUGAAGAUGGUCAACAUUUAGGGUUUACUUAAACUCUUUGCGCGAGGGACUGUUGUCGAAGGGCAAGUAGUAUGUCGUCGGGCAAACUUUUGGUGCGAAAAUGGAAAAAAAAUGGCAUGCCACAGCAGAGGCUUUGCUUGGCGAAUUAAGUAUUCGUCGGCUAGGAAGGAUUUGCUUGACAAUGUGGUUCGUUGGCUAAGUGUAAUGUCGGUGGUCAAAAGUCCAGUAAUGAUGUGUAAUAAAUAUCCACCGAGACAACCUUUACUUGACUUUUACCUAUUACUUACCUGACGGAGCGGUUUGUAGGGCAAAAGCUUAUCAUCAAUUUAUAAGUUUGUGCCUUCCUCUUCCUUUGUCUCCUCAAUACCUUCAUUUUCAUCUUUCUACUCCGUGCCUUCCUUUUCAUCUUUCUCCCUUCUCUUUUUCCUUGCACAAGGUCUCUAAGUAUGUCAUGAAAAACACCAGCAGCACAGACAUGUUUGUUGUGGCCAGAGGUCUAGGAAAUAUAUGGAGAUGAUAUCACCGUAAUGUGCAAGAAUCGUGAAGAUACUACUGUAAUGUAAAAAGAGUGGUGAACAAAAGUUACUCAGAUGUCUUGCAUGUGGAAGAACAUGGAGAGGAUACCACUAUAUUGGGUUCAAAGCCCUAAAUCCUAUGGCUAAGCCAUUUUUCACAAAAGGCUUGGCCUUGUUUCUAAAGUUCAGCCGGAAUUGGAUUUAAAAGUGUUUACUUGGGAGUCCACAACCGAGCAUUUUUGUAAAUCUCUAAAUCUUAUGUCUGAGCCUUUUUUCAUUGUACUUAUGUUAGAAUAAAAUUUAAAUGUUUUGUAAUCCCCAACAAAUGCAUUGGCAUUGCAUGAUCGGAUUUGUCUUAUAUCAUAGCAUUGGUUGGUAUCAUGUAAAUUUGUUGUUGGUUUUUUUUUCUCUUAGUAUUUUUGUAAUGGAUCCUGUUGAUGCACAAAAUCAGUGAGGACUUUGGUACAACAGAAAGUGUUAAGUUUGUGACUUUCGCUAGAUUGCUCCGGUCACUAGUAUGGAUAAGUAUGUAAAUGGAUAGAGAUAGGGAAGUAAACACAAGAUGUACAUGGUUCACCCAGAUUGGCUACGUCCACGGAGUAGAGGAGUUCUCAUUAAUUGUGAAGGGUUUACACAAGUACAUAGGUUCAAGCUCUCAUCUAGUGAGUACAAGUGAAUGAUUUAGUACAAAUGACAUUAGGAAAUAUUGUAAGAGAAUGAUCUCUAUUUAUAGAAAAGAGUUUCUAGUUUCAUUCUGACAUUGACAUGUGUCGUGUUGUGAUUGGCUUCUAAUGUUAACACGUGUCGCGCUAUGAUUGGCUUCUGAUGUCGGCACGUGUCGCGAUGUGAUUGGCCUCCUGGUUGGAGGGAAACUCUUCUAGGUCCUUGACGGUAUAACGUUGACCAAUGCUCAGUAGUUUCGGGAUUGGUCAAGUAUGGUACAAACAGUGCUCCCUUAAGUUCCCGAGUGAGGGAAGCUCCUCGGUUGGGGACUUGCAAGAUCCAAGCCAUUGAGUAAUCACGAAACUUCAAAGUACCGAAGUGUGGAAUCAUUUUCACUUACCUUAUCUGUCUCAUAUGUAGAUGUGGCAUCUUCUCUGGAAGUACUUUUCCUCCAUCUAGGGGUGGUAUCUUUAAUCGAUGAAGAUGCACAAAGUAAUGUAUCAAUUUCACUUGAAGCUUACUUGUAGUUUCGAGCUUGGUUAAGUGCGAUACAAACCCUAUAGUAGGAGUCCCCCAAGUCGCUGAGCUAGGAGAUUUGCCGAAUGAGGUAACAGACAAGGUAAGCAAUCAGACUUCCAAGCAAGCAACCUAGAUCAGAGGUUCGAUUUCGGCUUCCAGUUGAUUAUUCUCCUUCUCCUUGUGUCGUAAAUAGCACCAAGGAUAAGGAGAAGCAAAUGGAGAAGAGAUGAUAUGAGAUACUUUUGCUUUUGAAGAAGUAACUUUCCAUAGGCUUAUUCUUGAACUGGGUUAGAGGGUUUUCUGGUUCCCUCUAGAGUAUAAGGCCGACUCAAGAAUUUGAGGGUCAAAACAAGUCCAUCAAAUCUAGAGUACAUUCGACCCUGAUGAUAUGGGAUACUUUUGCUGUUGACAAAGUAAUGGAUGUAUCAGCACGUGUUCUGUUACGCUUGUCUCCACAUGCUUGUAUCCUUCUCACUUGCCUUAUUUGUUCAUCAGGCAGAUGUGGUAUCUUCUCUGGAAGCAUAAGACGUUGAAGAUGAGUACUCGAGAUCAAUGCCAGGUAAGUGAUCAAUCAAAGGGUUCCAGGCAGUCAGUUCCUGAUUGGAAGCUUGAUUCCAAGUGUUGACUGAUUGCUCUCUUUCUCCUUGUCUUGCAGGUAAGAAUAAGGCCAAAGGAAAAAUACAGGGAAAAAGCAUGAUAUGGGAUACUCUUACUUUUAACCCUGAUGAUAUGAGAUACUUUUGCUCUGGUGUGGCUUGUUUGCACAGGUAUUAUCGGGAGGAAAAAAGCUGAGUAAUUCGAGAGACUCUGCUGAAAGUGCCCUAUCGGAUGUGAAGAAGAGUUGAGCAUUUUUUUUUAUUUGCAGGUUUGCCUGACUGUAGAGAAUGGAGGUCGACAUAUAUAGGAGUCUCCCUAACAACAAGUAGUAGUCCUAUUCCUUUACCCUUUUUAGUCGUAGUAAUGUAGUGGGAGCUGUAAGCUUCACGUGUUUUAACUUUGUCAGAGCACUUUGACAAAGUGGUAUGUGGUAUCUGGAAAGCUAAUGUUAUGUGUGAAGAUUGCAGACAAGCUUUAUCCAAGGAAAUCUGGCUCUCAAAGUUCGGAGAGCGAUGCCUCUUCAUUUUUCGAACAAGCAAUCGUAUCGGGGAUCUGGCUCUUGAGAUUCGGAGAGCGGUGCCUCUUCGAUUUUUGAGAAAGCAAUCCUGUUGGGAGUCUAGCUCUUGAGAUUCGGAGAGCGGUUCCUCUUCGAUUUUUGAGAAAGUAAUCCUGUUGGGAGUCUGGCUCUCGAGAUUCGGAGGGCGGUGCCUCUUCGAUUUUUGAGUAAGUAAUAAUGUUAUUCCUUUACCCUUUUUGGUCAUAGCAAUGUAGUGGGAGCUGCAAGCUUCACAUGUUUUAACUUUGUCAGAGCGCUUUGAAAAAGUGGUCUGUGGUAUCUAGAAAGCUGAUGUUGCGUGUGAAGAUUGCAGACAAGCUUUAUCCAAGGAAAUUUGGCUCUUGAAGUUCGGAGAGCGGUGCCUCUUUGAUUUUCGAACAAGCAAUCAUGUCGAGGAUCUGGCUCUCGAGAUUCAGAGAGCGGUGCCUCUUCGAAAUCCAGAUAGUGGUGCCUCUUCGGAAUUAGGAGAGUGGUGCCUCUUCGAUUUUUAAAUCAACGGCCCUAUUGCCCUUUCUUUUAUAAGGGCACCAAUUGUGUGCAAGGAGUACAUUCAGAGAGUUAUUGCUUGUAGGAAUUUCCCCCUUACUUUAGAGAUUUAUUGCACCUCAUUUCUCCUUCAUCAUUUCUGAGAAUGUCUGGCCCAUCCGAUUGUCGUUUUGACUUGAACUUUGGUGAAGAGGCAACCAUGCCUUCUCAAGACAACAUAUGGCGUCCAUCCUUCUUAUCCCUUACUGGUCCUCUUACCGUUGGGGACUCUGUGAUGAAGAAUGAUAUGACAACUACGGUGGUGGCUAGGAACAUUCUCAUUCCCAAAGAUAAUAGACUACUUUCCAAACGGUCUGAUGAGUUGGCUGUUAAGUAUUCUCUGGCUCUGAGUGUUCAGUGUGCAGGUUCUGUGUCUAAUAUGGCCCAACGUCUAUUUGCUCGAACCCGUCAAGUUGAAUCAUUGGCGGCUGAAGUGAUAAGUCUCAAACAAGAGAUCAGGCAGCUCAAGCAUGAGAAUCAACAGUUGCACAGGCUCGCACAUGACUAUGCUACAAACAUGAAGAGGAAGCUUGACCAGUUGCAAGAAUCUGAUGGUCAGAUUUUGCUUGAUCAUCAGAGGUUUGUGGGUUUGUUCCAAAGACAUUUAUUACCUUCGUCUUCUGGGGCUGUACCGUGUAAUGAAGCUCCAAAUGAUCAACCUUCGAUGCCUCCUCCUUCUGGGGUUCUGCCUAGUACUGAGGCUCCGAAUAAUCACCCUCUAGUGCCUCCUCUUUCUGGGGCUCUGCCGACUGCUGAGACUUCUCCUGAGCAACCUUUGUGAAGGCUCCAUCUUGUUUGUUUAUUUUGAUUCAUGUAUAUGUACAUAUUUGUAACUUAUCGGAGAUAUCAAUAAACAAGAUUUGCUUCAUUUCAACGUAUUGUGUUAAAUACACCAAGGCCUUCUUCACUAAGUUAUUUGAAUUUUUCCUUUUGUUGAAGCUUGUAUGUUGAAGCUUUGUGAGUAAAGCAUGUAGGUUGAGGUAGUGCUCCCUUAAUUUCCCGAAUGAGGAAAACUUCUCAUUUGGAGACUUGAAAAAUCCAAGUCACUGAGUGGUCGUGAGACUUCUGAGUAUCAAGGUGCAGUAGCAUAUGGUAGGAGUCCUCCAAGUCUCCGGUCGAGGGAGUUGACGAAUGAGGCAUUUCCUUUCUAAGUGGUAGCCCAAAACUCCUUCUUCAUAAAUAUUUGUUAUGAAAGUUGUUAGGCCCAAAGAAGAGGAGGCCUAGGCAAUUUUUUUUUUUCGAAUUUUCGAAUUUUUGAAUUUUCGAAUUUCCGAAUAAAUAAAUAUAUAUAUAUUUUUAAAGCUUUGUAGGUGAAGCUUUGGUGUUGAAGUUUUGUUGGGCACCAUGAAUUGAUUUUGCUUCACACUAUCUUGAUCAAGAUAGUGUGAAGCUUUUGUAGGUCAAGCUUUUGUAGGUGAAGCUUUUGUGGGUCAAGCUUUUGUGGGUCAAGCUUUUGUGGGUCAAGCUUUUGUAGGUCAAGCUUUUGUAGGUCAAGCUUUUAUGGUUCAAACUUUUGUGGGUGAAGCUUUUGUAGGUGAAGCUUUUGUGGGUCAAGCUUUUGUGGGUCAAGCUUUUGUGGGUGAAGCUUUUGUGUUGAAGUUUUUGUAGGUGAAGCUUUGGAGUUGAAGCUUUGUAGGUGAAGCUUUGGAGUUGAAGCUUUUGUUAGGUACCAUGAAUUGAUUUUGCUUCACACUAUCUUGAUCAAGAUAGUGUGAAGCUUUAGAGAAUUUGUAGUUGUCCUCCAUUGAUGAAGCUUUUGUUAGUGAAGCUUUGGAGUUGAUGUUUUGUAGGUGAAGCUUUGGAGUUGAAGCUUUUGUUGGGUACCAUGAAUUGAUUUUGCUUCACACUAUCUUGAUCAAGAUAGUGUGAAGCUUUAGAGAAUCUGUAGUUGUCCUCCAUUGAUGAAACUUUUGUUGGUGAAGCUUUGGAGUUGAUGUUUUGUAGGUGAAGCUUUGGAGUUGAAGCUUUUGUUGGGUACCAUUUAUUUUGCUUCACACUAUCUUGAUCAAGAUAGUGUGAAGCUUUUGAGAAUUUGUAGUUGUCCUCCAUUGAUGAAGCUUUUGUUGGUGAAGCUUUGGAGUUGAAGUUUUGUAGGUGAAGCUUUGGAGUUGAAGCUUUUGUUGGGUACCAUGAAUUGAUUUUGCUUCACACUAUCUUGAUUAAAAUAGUGUGAAGCUUUUGAGAAUUUGUUGUUGUCCUCCAUUGAUGAAGCUUUGUUGAAUUUCCCUUUUUUUUUUUUGGGAAACUAGAAAUUUGAAAAUGUGGGAAAGACAACAUAUACAAAUUUUGCUUCCACACUGUUGAGCAAGAGAUUGUGAUGCAAGCCACACCUUGUAGUAGUCGAAGGUUUGGAUGAACCAUAUAAAUUGAAUUUGCUUCGAAGGUUUGAGAAUUGUAGUUGCCCUCCAUUGAUGAAGCUUUUGUUGGCACCAUAAAUUGGUUUUGCUUCACACUUUCUUGAUCAAGAGUGUGUGAAGCUUUUGAGAAUUGUGGUUGAACUCCUUUGAUUAAGCUUUUGUUGGCACCAUAAAUUGGUUUUACUUCACACCAUCUGAUCAAGUGUGUGUGAAGCUUUUGAGAAUUGUGGUUGCCCUCCAUUGAUGAAGUUCUUGUUCGCACCAUAAAUUGGUUUUGCUUCACACUGUCUUGAUCAAGAGUGUGUGAAGCUUUUGAGAAUUGUGGUUGCCCUCCAUUGAUGAAGCUCUUGUUGGCACCAUAAAUUGGUUUUGCUUCACACAAGUGUGUGAAACUUUUAAGAAUUGUGGUUGAACUCCUUUGAUGAAACUCUUGUUAGCACCAUAAAUUGGUUUUACUUCACACUGUCUUGAUCAAGAGUGUGUGAAGCUUUUGAGAAUUGUGGUUCCCCUCCAUUGAUGAAGCUCUUGUUGGCACCAUAAAUUGGUUUUGCUUUACACUGUCUUGAUCAAGAGUGUGUGAAGCUUUCUACGAGUUGUAGUGUUUGCAUUGUUACAGAGGGGAAAUGUUUGAAGCAGAUGCAAGAAAGCUGAAUAGCUUGAUCUUCGUAUGCCAUGCACUGAAAUUGCUGUUAGCUUGCAAUAAGACUUUGUUGGUGACUAUAACUCUUGUUGGGCAUAAGUGCUCCCCUAGUUGAGUUGUCAAGCUUGAGGGUUUUUGUUUAUUUGUGAAUGCUAGGAGUUCACAUGUACAAGUUGUACCACUCGUCUUCUGGUAGGUGGAAUGAAUGGUGAGUUGCUUUCAUCACUUGGUUGGUGGUACGAAGGUGAGUUCCUACUUCCCCUGAUUGAUGGCAUGAAUGGUAAGUUGCCAAAUGAUAUUAGAGUACGGGUUGUACAUUUCAUCACCUGGUUGGUGGCAUGAAGGAGAUUACAGGUUGUACAUUUCAUCACCUGGUUGGUGGCAUGAAGAUGAGUUCCUUCUUUACUUGGUUGGUGGCAUGAGUGGCAAGUUGCCAAAUGAUAUUAGAGUGCGGGUUGUACAUUUCAUCACCUGGUUGGUGGCAUGAAGAUGAGUUCCUUCUUCACCUGGUUGGUGGCAUGAGUAGCAAGUUACCAAAUGAUAUUAGAGUACGGGUUGUACAUUUCAUCACCUGGUUGGUGGUAUGAAGAAGAGUACGGGUUGUACAUUUCAUCACCUGGUUGGUGGCAUGAAGAUGAGUUCAUUCUUCACCUGGUUAGUGGCAUGAGUGGCAAGUUGCCAAAUGAUAUUAGAGUAUGGGUUGUACAUUUCAUCACCUGGUUGGUGGUAUGAAGGAGAGUACGGGUUGUACAUUUCAUCACCUGGUUGGUGGAAUGAAGAUGAGUUCCUUCUUCACAUUUCAUCACCUGGUUGGUAAGAAUAAGGGCAAGGUGUCCAGGCACAUUGUAGCAAGUGUCGAAUGACACAAAAUAUGUUGAACUCUUUCAAAGCACAGUUGGCUUAUGUAUGAAUGUGUUGGAAUAUAUGAUUGAACGAAUAUACUGUGAAGCUGUUCGUUUAUUUGUAUAGUCUUGUUGACAUAUACUGAGACUUUGUUUCAUGUUGGAAGCAUUCAUGUUGAAGCUUUGAACCUGAGUGUUUCAUAGCUAGGAAUGUAAGAGGAUUAUGAUCAAGUUGUCUAAAUCACCUCUUUAUUGAAUUCAUGUCAAAUAGUCUUCGUUACAUAGAAUGCCGAACGGCUGAAGCUUAACACUUGUACAAUGUGAGUUUACUUGUAAUAGUACUUCAAGUGAUCAGCGUUCCAUAGAUGGCCAAUGGUCUUGCCAUCGGAGCUUCUAAGCUUGUAGGAGCCAGGGCGAUUGAUGCCAACAACUUCAAACGGUCCAUCCUAGUUUGGACUAAGUGUUCCUUCACUCGGGACUCUGUCGCGGAGUAAUCUUUUCUUCAAUACCCAGUCCCCCACUUUGAAAGAAUGAGGUUUGACCCUUGAGUCAUAGUAGUUAGAGAUGCGCUGCUUGUAGGCGACAUUCCUCAAGUGAGCCUGGUUUCUGUGUUCCUCGACUAGAUCUAAGUUGAGGGUAAGUUGUUUGUCAUUUUCGCUUUGCACAUAGUUCUGGACUCGGAACGUUGCUUGCUCAAGCUCAACUAGGACAACUGCCUCUGUACCAAAGGCAAGUGAGAAUGGGGUUUCUCCUAUUGAUGUCCGAUACGAAGUGCUGUAUGACCAAAGAACUUAGGGUACAAAUUCUGGCCAACAACCUUUAGCCUUGUCCAAGCUGGUUUUCAAAAUUCACUUGAUUAUUUUGUUGAUGGCUUCAACUUAUCUAUUAGACUGGGGAUGAGCUGGGGAGGCAAAACAUAAGUUGAUGUUGAACUUAGAGUAAAACAUCAUGAACUUAUUGUUGUCGAACUGUCGCCCGUUGUCAGUGACUAUCGCAUUGGGAAUGCCGAAUCUGCAAAGGAUGUUCUUCCAUACGAAGUUUUCUAUUUUUGACUCAGUAAUGGUUGCCAAGGGUUCUACUUCGGCCCACUUUGUGAAGUAGUCAACUACAACGAUUGCAUAGCGAACCUUGCCCUUCCGUGCAGGCAUUGGGCCGAUCAAAUCAAGUCCCCAUUGGGCGAAGGGCCAAGGGCUGAUCAUAGGAGUGAGCGGCUCGGGAGGGGAGUGAGGAAUAGUUACGUAGCGUUGACACUUAUCACAUGAGCGGGAUAUUCUGAUGGCAUCUUGGUGGAGUGUUGGCUAGUAAUAUCCUUGGCGAAAAGCCUUGUGUGCUAGGGAUCGAGAUCCAGCAUGAUCUCCGCAGACUCCUUCAUGUAUUUUCCGAAGGACAAUUUUCGCCUCUGCGGGCGUAAGGCAUCUUAGGUAUGGUAGGUUAAAACCCCGCUUGUAGAAUUGGUCAUUAAUGAUCAAGUAACGGGUAGCCUUGUAUCGAAUCUGCUUAACUUGGACUUUGUCAUUUAGAAGGGUGCCAUAAGCAAGGAAUCUAUAAAUCAGGGUAAUCCAACUAUCUCCUUGUUGUAAGUUGCACACUUCCGCAGCCAUGGUGAUUGGUGCUGCCAACAAUUCGACUUGAAUUUUUCUCCCAAUCUUGUCUUCUACCGUUGAGGCGAGGUAAGCCAAAGCAUCUGCAUGAUUGUUUGCCGCUCGAGGAAUUUGGGUGAUCUGGUAGUGGAAGUGCUUGAGCAACAAUUAUGUUUGUGCCAGAUAUGCUGCCAUGAAGCUAUCCUUAGUGUCAAAGUUGUUGACCUGGUUAACCACCAAUUGGGAGUCAUUGAAGAUAUCAAUUCGUUUAACCCCAAAGUGUUUGGCCAAACGUGAGCCUGCUAGGAGGGCUUCAUAUUCGGCCUCAUUGUUCAACGCCUUGAAUUUGAAAUGAAGAGCAUACUUCAUCGCCACUUUGUCAGGGGUCGUAAGGACUAGUCCUGCUCCACAACCCUGUUGGUUGGACGAGCCAUCAACAUAUAGACUAUAUGCUGGGGCUGUUGGUUCUAUUUUCUAAGCUUCUGAGGGUAAUGAAACCACUUCUUUAGGCAUGGAAACAAUGUCAACAGGAUAUGUGAAGUCGGCAAUGAAGUCUGCCACUGCUUGGCCCUUCUUAGCUGGCUUUGGUUGGUAGGAGAUGUCAAACUCACCCAAUGCUAUCGCCCAUUUGAUCAUUCGCCCGGAAGUGUCAGGACUUUGGAGUAUCUGUCGAAGAGGUUGAUUGGUAAACACGAUGAUGGAGUGUGCUUGGAAGUAAGGGCGAAGUUUUCGAGCAGACAUGACCAAUGCUAGAGCCAAUUUCUCAAUGUUGGAGUAUCGUGUCUCCGCAUCUUGUAAGGCCUUGCUAGUGUACUAGACAAGCCCUUCGACAUUACCAUCUUUUCGAAUGAGAACGGAACUUACUGCUAAAGCCGAUACCGACAGAUAGAUAAUAAGAGUGUCACCAACCUCAGGUUUGGAAAGCAAAUGGGCUUUACUCAUGUAGUCUUUGAGGUUCUUGAAUGCCUCAGCACAUUCAUCAGUCCAUAUAAUGUACUUCUUACUUCCCUUAAGUGUUUUGAAGAAAGGAGCACAUUUAUCGGUGGCCUUAGAGAUGAACCUAGUUAAGGCUACCACAUUGCCAGUAAGGCUCUGAAUGUCUUUUGAAGUUACCGAUUCCUUCAUGUCGAGGAUUACUUUGAUCUUCUUGGGAUUAGCCUCAAUGCCUCGUUAGCUUAUCAUGAAGCCUAAGAAUUUGCCAGAGCCUACGCUGAAGGCACAUUUGUUGGGGUUCAACCUCAUUCGAUACCUCUUCAGAAUGGUGAAAGUUUCAGAUAGGUUGGUGAUGUGUUGGUCAACAUGUUUGCUCUUGACUAGCAUAUCAUCAACGUAAACUUCCAUGCUCUUCCCAAUCUGUUCGGUGAACAUUGAAUUGACCAGUCUCUGAUAAGUCGCUCCUACAUUCUUUAGGCCGAAGGGCAUGACUUUAUAGCAAUAUAGUCCCCUAUCAGUACUGAAGGUUGUGUGUUCUUGGUCCAGAAGGUUCAUGAGGAUUUGGUUGUAUCCUGAGUAAGCAUCCAUAAUGCUCAGGAGUUCACACCCUGCCGUAGAGUCUAUAAGUUUGUCUAUGAGAGGAAAAGGAAAGCUAUCAUUCGGGCAUCCUUUGUUUAGGUCGGUGUAAUCGACACACAUUCUCCACAAGACCUUUUGGAACAUGAGAUUUUCCUUGGUCGGAUUCUUCUUAACAAGGACAACAUUUGCUACCCACGUUGGAUAAUUGACUUCGUGGACGAAGCCUAUGCCUUUGAGUUUUUCAACUUCUGCCUUUAUUGCCUCGUACCGUUCAACGUCAUAAGAUCUUCGCUUUUGUCUCACUGGCUUGGUCUUGGGGUCAAUAUUUAAGCGAUGACAGAUUAUAUCGAGAGAGAUGCUUGGCAUGUCCUCGUAUAACCAGGCGAAGACCUCAGUGUUCUUUUGCAAAAAAUAGAUCAAUGCCAACCGAAUGGGUGGUGACAAGGUGGUACCAAUCUUCACCAUGCGAUCCAGAUAAUCUUUUGAGAUAGAGACCUUCUCCAACUCUUCAGCGGGUUGUGUUUGCUGGGUGAAAGAGUCAUCUCGAGGAUCGUCGGGUUGACUGUUGCCGCCGUGAAGAUCCAAGUUGGCUUCGUCUGGGCUGGUCUUUAUGACUUGGUCAUGUAUCAAAAGGGUUUCCUUGGGCACAGGCAGAUGUUGUUGCUUGACCGAAGUGUUGUAACAUGAUCGUGCACUAAGUUGAUCUCCUCUGAUGUAACCAUUGCCAUAGGGGGUUGGAAAUUUCAUCAACAACAUAUGUGUGGAUACCAUGGCCUUGAGAUCAUUGAUGCCUGUGCGUCCGAAGAUAACAUUGUAUGUCAUUGGGCAAUCAACCACCAGGAAGUUAGUGGUAAUGGUAGCUGUGUAAGGGCAUGUACCAAUGGUGAAAGGUAAGUGUAUGCUCCCCAAAGGUUACACGAUAUCACCAGAGAAGCUUAUCAGAGGGGAAAUCGAGUGGUCGAGCAAGUGUUCAGCUACAUUAAGUGCCUUGAAAGCUUCAGCAAACAUGAUAUAGACCGAAGCCCCCAUGUCUACCAGGAUUUGUCGUACUUCAAAGUUAGCUAUGUGAGCUUCCACGAUCAGUGGGUCGUUGUGAGGGUAGAUGAUACCUCUUUCUUCCUCAGGGUAGAAACAUAUUGGAUCCCAGUUAGGCUUUUGAUACUUACCUCCCCUGAUGUCUUCCACGUGAAACACUUGGUGACCAAACCUUAAAGCUCGUUCACUAUUUUUCAUGGCCCUGUUAGAAGAUUUAGAUAUGGGUGUGCCACCACUUAUUGAAUAUAUCACAUUUACCUGGCGUUGGUUACGGUUACCCCUUGAAGGGUGAAGGAGGAAUUGAUCAAUUUUUCCUUCACGUGCCAAAGCUUCAAUAUGAUCACGAAGGGUGAUACACUUCUCGCCGUCAUAGCCGUUACGCUCGUGGUAGCAGCAAAACGUGCCUGUGUUCUUCGUGGGCUUGUAAUCCGGGUGCCUCGGCUUUGGCUUCGGUAUCAAGUGUGCUAUGCUGGGGUAAAUGGCCAUGCAUGUGGCGUUCAAAGGUGUGUAUGCCUCAUACCUCGGGGUAGGGGCUGUCUUGACACAUGUUUGACCCACUGUGUUGACUGCCUGAGGUCGGGGAUUAUCAUGGCGAUACCCUAGGUUAUCGCGGUAGUGUCCCUUACUCCUUUUACUAAAAUGAGACUGGUGAGGAUGAAAAUCUUUCUUUUUGCCCUGAGAUUGAUAUGUCUGUUGACUUGGCAAAGUAUUAAGUAAGACAGGGGGAGGCACCGCUGCCUUUUGGAAGGUCGAGGUCUUCUCAUUUGGUUGGAUCUGGCUUCCACUCCCUACUUGUUGUGGGGGGUUUCCCUUGAUAUGUCCUUGCCUCGGCAAAAGCAUGGUUGUAAGCCUAUGCCAUCACCUUAGAGUAAGUCUUCCAAGUAUUGGCAUUGAUCAUGUACUUGAAGAAACAAUCACGUAAGCCUGCCGUGAAGGCCUUGAAGGCGGUCUUGUCAUCUGCCUCAACGCAGCGAGAAUACUCAUGGCUGAAACGACCAGCAUACUCUCGUAGUGACUCGUCCGGCUUCUGGCGAAUAGUGUACAAGUCAUCUGCAUAAUACAAGCGAUCGAUCUGGAAGAUGUGUUGAGAGACAAACAGUUUCCUCAGUUCUUCAAAUGAGUCUACUGUCUCAGGUGGAAGACGACAAUACCAGUUUAGAGAUCUGCCAGAGAGGGUGGAGGGGAAGAGAAGACAUCGCUCUUCGUCGAUGUGCAUCUGAUAUGCCAUGGUGGACUCAAAGAGGUUAAGGUGUUCAAUUAGGUCAUCCCUUCCAGUAUAGAGUUGUAAACCAAGCUUUUGUUUUGUCUUCGCUUGAAGGGGGGUGUCAAAGAUCCUCCUUGUGAGAGGGCCAGGCCUGGGUUGGUUCCAGUCAGGUAUCUCGGCCUGACGUUCGGCCUUCAACUUGUUUACUUCCUCAAUGAGCUGUAGGACAAGGGGGUCCUGAAUGGAGUCAUGUACCACUGGGAUUUUCUUUCGUAAGUCUCCAUCGCCUCUUGGAAGUAGGAAAGUUUGAGCAAGGACGUGUAAUUUUUCCUUGGACUCGCCGUACUGACUUCUAGGGCGAGUCUGUCGGAAUACCUUAGAGUCCCUUGUACCUUCAUGUUCCUCUAGGACCUGUCGUUCCUUCCCUAGAUUAGCAACUGGCUUGGGUCGUGGAAGGGGACCGAGUCUUUCAGAAACCCUUGGGUCAUUGAUCUUCGAGCAUAUGUGGAGGGGAUUCUCUCGACGUUGCUUUAGGAAGUUUCCGCAGUCACGAUAAACGGCUUUCGAUCCUUCCAACCCUUCUGCAAGAAGGUGUUUUCCUCCACUUCUCUUGCUUUGGGUCGAAACAGAUGGGUUGAGAGAAGUCUCAUGUUGAUCAAUGUUUUGAUGAUUAGCUCACUCCUUAUCAGGGAUACCCAUGUCGAAGAAAGGUGACCCUCCGUGUUAGGGGGCACCAAGGUGAUGAUUGAUGUCCACAGGGGUAACGAGCUCGCAUGUUUGAGUACGCCUAGUUUCGUGGAGCGUCUCAAAGAGCUUCUCAUACUGCUCAUGGAGGACCUCAUUCUUCAUUGCUAUCUUGUUGUUCUGAGCUUCUAGCUCAUCGACUUUAGCUUGAAGAACAACCCUUUUUCCUUCCUUCUUUCGUUGCUUCGCACUAGGUGCAAGAAGGGUGUCAUUCUGUGUGUUGUGGCUUCCUUCGCUCCCCAUGUUGGAGAAGGAUGCCUAGUCAAAAGAGAGUGUACAAAUGGUGGAAACUAGCUUGACAAAGCUGAAGAGAGUGGGAAUAAGUGUCGUUCCCACAGACGGCGCCAAAUGUUAAUGCAUAAAAUCAGUGAGGACUUUGGUAAUGAAAGUGUUAAGUUUGUGACCUUCGCUAGAUUGCUCCGGUCACUAGUAUGGAUAAGUAUGUAAAUGGAUAGAGAUAGGGAAGCAAACACAAGAUGUACGUGGUUCACCCAAAUUGGCUACGUCCACGGAGUAGAGGAGUUCUCAUUAAUUGUGAAGGGUUUACACAAGUACAUAGGUUCAAGCUCUCAUUUAGUGAGUACAAGUGAAUGAUUUAGUACAAAUGACAUUAGGGAAUAUUGUGAGAGAAUGAUCUCUAUUUAUAGAAGAGAGUUUCUAGUUUCAUUCUGACAUUAACACGUGUCGUGUUGUGAUUGGCUUCUGAUGUUAACACGUGUCGCGUUAUGAUUGGCUUCUGAUGUCGACACGUGUCGCGCUAUGAUUGGCCUCCUGGUUGGAGGGAAACUCUUCUAGGUCCUUGACGGUAUAACGUUGACCGGUGCUCAGUAGUUUCGGGAUUGGUUAAGUAUGGUACAAACAGAUCCUAAAGUUAUAAACUACGGCUGAGCCUUUGUUCACAAAAGUUUACAUUUUAAUUAAUGAAGGUAUAGAAAAAACAAUAAAUGUUUUGAAAUUGAAGCUUUAGAAAGGGACACGCAUUCUAUGAAAGUAGUUUCUACGAUCCAAUCCUUAAACAUGUUUGCAUAUGCUUCAAGGCUAAUACUAGUAGUCAACAUUCAAAAGUCCAAUUCUAAUUUUCAACUUGUUACAAGUAUGGAACCUUUGCCCGACGGAGCUCCGUUGGGUAAACUCCUAUUAUGUGGUCAAAAGUAUAACUUCAAUUUUCGACGUACCAUAACUAUCCGCCCAUGUGUCUAGAAAAAUCCACUGACAUAACCCUUGCUCGACGAGCCUCCGUUGGGUAAACCCUUAACGGUCAAAAGUCCAUUUUUCAAUUUUCGACAUGUCACAAAUAUUCACCCACGUGUCUUGAAAAAUCCACCGACAUAACCCUUGCCGGAUGGAACUUUGUCAGGUAAACCCCUAUUCAGUCAAAAGUCCAUUUUUCAAUUUUCGACGUGUCACAAAUAUUCGCCCACGUGUCUUGAAAAAUCUACCAACACAACCUUUGCCGAACAAAACUCCAUUGGGUAAACCCAUAUUCGAUCAAAAGUACAAUUCCAAUUUUUGACGUGUCACCCACGUGUCUUGAAAAAUCCACCGACACAACCUUUGCCCGACAAACCUCCGUUGGGUAAACCCCUAUUCAAUCAAAAAUCCAAUUCCAAUUUUCGAAGUGUCAUAAGUUAUGACCCGGCGAUAUUUUUUUUAGUAAAAAUAAAAUAUCUUUAAAAUAUUGCGAUAAUAUCACUAAUAUCGCGAUAUUACCGAUAUUAGCGAUAUUAUCGCGAUAUUCGUCGUCGCCGCCGCCGGGAGGUGAGAAAGGGAUCCAGAAACCAGAUCGAAGAAGAUGGAUCCAGAAACCAGAUCGAAGAAGAAGGAUCCAGUAACCAGAUCAAGGGAGAGACGAAGACGGAGAGACCGAGGAGAGACGGAGACGGAGAGACCGAGGCAGAGAUGGAGACGGAGAGACCGAGGCAGAGACGGAGACGGAGAGACCGAGGCAGAGACAGAGACGUAGAGACGGAGAUGGCGAUCAGGUGGUGUCGCCGUUGAUGUGGUGUGGAAGUGAGGGUGUGGGUUGUUCACGGGGAGAAGGAGAGAGUGCAGAGAGGGCGAAGAGGGAGAAUGAGGGUUGUUCACGGGGAGAAGGAGAGAGUGCAGAGAGUGCAGAGAGCGAUGAGGAGGUGUCGCCAUUGAAGUGGUGUGGAAGUGAGGGUGUGGCGUGUGGGUUGGUUCACGGGGAGAAGGAGAGAGUGCAGAGAGAGAGCACGGUAGAGAUGAGAGAGUGAGGGAAAAGAGAGAUCUGAGAGAAAAGAGAGACGGGGACACAAAAGCAAGGUGGGCCCCCUGGGCACACCUAUUAAGAUCUAAAAAUAAUUUUAAAAACAAGAUAAACUCAAACUUAGUGAAAAUACAAUUUAAAUUGGGAUGGGUGUAACAAUCUACCCCUCUUAAAAGAAUUUCGUCUCCGAAAUUUAAAAUCACUUACUAAACUGAAAUACUAGAAAAUAGGAAGAAGAAUAUAUGUGUAUAAAGAGAAAUCAAGUCCAAAUAAUUACAUCAUAUUAAAAUUUGAUUAAUUUUUUUUCAGUUACAUAUAUUCUAUAUGAUAAAUUUCUAUUUUAAAUCAAGUCCAAAUAAUUACAUCAUAUUAAAAUUUGAUUAUUUUUUUUUCAGUUACAUAUAUUCUAUAUGAUAAAUUUCUAUUUUAAAUCAAGUCCAAAUAAUUACAUCAUAUUAAAAUUUGAUUAUUUUUUUUUCAGUUACAUAUAUUAUAUAUGAUAAAUUUCUAUUUUAAAUCAAGUCCAAAUAAUUACAUCAUACUAAAAUUUGAUUAAUUUCUUUUCAAGUAUCUCUACUUUUGAACUACUCACCACGUUCACUCUAUGUGAUACUAAGUCACUCAUGUAUCUUACCAUACACAAUGUAUAAAGUGUGUAAAAUAUUGUACUAAUUCAUUAUAUAUAAAUGAUUAUGGUGUGUUUAAACUUAUUUCAUUAAUUACUACAUAUUUUCUACACUUACAAUGUUUGCCAGCUCGCUAUAUAAUCAACUUAAAUCAGUUAAAUCCAUCAUGCAAUGCAUUUCCUUCCAAUUUUUUGUGAUAAACUAAUAGAUAAUUGACUAAAUAAACAUCCUGCAAAGUUUCAAUAAAAAUUUCCAAGUUUUUCUUACAAUUUCCGUGGUUUCCAUGUAAUUUUUAUCGAUAUCGAUAUUAUCCCGAUAUUUCCAUCGAUAUUUCUGUGUUUUCGGAUUACCGAUAUUUCCGAUAUUACCGAUAUUUUCUUCCUUGGUCAUAACUAUCCACCCACGUGUGUUGAAAAAUCCACCGACACAUCACCGCUCUGGUUUUUUACCCUUAUCUUACCAAGUCGAGGAACAAUAUGUGGCUCAUGAGCCUUUCUCGGAGGUGGUGGUUUGGGAGGAUACGCCAAUUAUGACAACGAGGUCAAGGAGGAUAUUUAUGUAAGUAUUUAUUUAUAUUCAUUUAUUGUAAAUUUCAUUACAAUAGAUAAUAUUUAAAUUAUAAUUGAUAAUCUUACUUUGUUUCCCUUGUUUUUUUUUUGUUAAAUUUUUUUUAGGCUUCUAUGGUACAGAAAAAAGAUGAGUACCUCGUUAACCUCUUCUAGCAACAUUCAGACAUGCCUAUGGACUAUUUGACACCUGAUCUAGAGUUUUCUCUCCAUAUGUUGAUGGACGGGUUAAGGGAAGGAAAAGCAAGGAUGUUUAGUACCUAGGACUGGGUUGAGUUCGGGAAGUCGAGUCUUCUUAUUUAUCUAGCUUUACUUCAUCAAUCUAGACUUCCAAACUUCCAGACUUCAGCAGGUGGAGGAGCUGGCACGCCAAAGGCACUUGUACUUCACUAUUGUAUCCCAGUUGUUGUCAGCUUCUGGCAUUAGGUUCCCAAGCUGCUAAUCGAGCUUUUGCAACCAUUCCUUCCGCCAUUUUAGGAGCCCCUUAGCAGCCGCCCAAACAACUGCCUCAUCAGCCACAGGACCCCCCAUCACAGUAGUUUGCAUUUUUGUUUGUAAUAUAAUUGUACGAACAAUUUUGUUUUGGGUUGUAAAUAUUAUAUUUCCAUUUUUACACUAAUUGUUUUUAAAAUUUUUGAAAUUAAAAUUAAUUUUUUUCCAUUUUUUGUAAUAACUUUUUUAUUUUAGAAUUAAAUAAAUUAUUUAAUAGUUUUAAGUUUUUUUUAUAAUAAUGUUUUUUUUACCCAAAUGGAGGUGUCAUCGUAAAACGUGACAACUGUGUCGUCGGGUUAAGCCCACCACAUUUUUUUAAUUAUGUCUAACCAAUUAGGUAGAUUCUGUCGAGGUCAAUUGGGUCAACACACUCUCGUCCGAUGAUGUCUUUCGUCGCGCUAACUUCUCUUUACCCAACAUAAGAGUUUAUACACCGUGUAAGGCCCUAUGAUGAUUUAUGCCCGACUAUUCUAUGCCGACGAACUUCCAUCGAGUAAAGUUUCCGGCGACAAAUUGUCCUUUUAGUUGAUGAAAAUUUUCCGUCUGCCAAAGGGAUUUUUUGUAGUGGUAACACAUGAUGUUUCUAUUUGUUGUACUUCAUGAAAUUAUUUUUCCACAAGUAAUUCUUCUGCUAUUAUUUUAUUUAUGAUAAUUUUUUGUUUGAAAAUGAGCGAUGCCUUUAUUUGAUUGAUUACAUAGUAGAAUCUUAGAGGCGGACAUCCCGUAUAAUAAUGGAGGAUUCUCAAACCUGGAACGCAUGAGUAGAAACUCAACACCCUAUCGAUUAGGAUAUUGGACCAUAAGCAAAGCUUAAGUUCUCCACACUUGCCGCAAGGGCACAGCAAGUUAAUAGCAGGAAUCGAUUGUGAUGAAUCACUCUCCACCUGCACCCAUUUUAAACCCAUCCUGGCUGACUUAUUAAGUUGUUUGGUUUAUAUUUAGAACUGGGCUUUCUUAAUGCUGAUAGGGAUUUUGGUCAGGCUCACCUUCCUUCAUAGAGCAUUAGAUUGUCAUAGUGCACCCAAAAAUUAAUGACCAAAUUAGCCCAUAAGAUAAAGAUGAAGGAAAUUCAUUGGCCCAUAAAAUGGAAUACGUGUACAAACAAUGGAAGUGCGUUUUAAAUUCUCUUUGCAUACAAAUUCUUUAUGCACACAUAUUCUCCAAUCUCCAUAUCAUGGAGAAAAACUUAGUUAUACCAUCACAUACAAAACCCCUCUUUAUCAUGUGAUGAUCGAGAUAAACAUACAGAUAAGAUGUAUGAUUUCAUGCAAGCUUUUUUUUUCCUACUAUUUGCGAAAGGAAGAAAUAACAGUUAGUAUUGGAAGGAUAGCCGCUCUUUUUCUUAUUAGAAUAAUGGAGGGAAUGAUAGUCUCGUUGCUUAUGUGGUUUGUGAUAUGAUAAAUACAUAGCUUUAAGUCUUUCGUACACCUCUUCUUAAUUAUGUUUGUUGUUUCCGUGUGAUUUAUUCAAUAAAUUGUAAAUUAAUUGUGAUAUUGGCCAAAUAAUUUCCUUGAAUAGUUACAAAAGGGUUUUAUAUAAUACAGAGAGUAAACAUGAUCCUAAAUUAACACCUAUACAAAUUGUUUCCUAGUUUACAUGUUUGUACAGAAUGGAAGGUAAAUUAAUAUUAGUUGACUCUCCAUGAUACAAGGAAAUCACUGUAAUAGAGAACCAACUGAUUUUGGUUCACUUAACGGAAGUCUGUAUUUAUCAACUCCCUCUGUAGUUUAGAAUGUUAUCUCGGCCAUUAAUGGGAGAUAAAAAAGUGUGGGGUUUUUUUUUUCUUGCGUGUCUGUGUUUGAAAAGUUAUGAAUCGAUUGAUAACCCCAAUUAUCAUAUUCAGUUCGAAUGGCAGUGUCGUGGAUGUCAUAGCCAUCGAUCCUCGGGGUGAUCACGUAGUUCCUACAAGGUGAAGAUGAUGGGGGUGACCAUAAUUUUUCUUCAUUUAGCCGCUACAUACCCCGUCUGAUCCCCUAUUUGUCGAUUCAAUAUAACCUUGCUCUGCACGAGUGUACUGUAUGGCCAAGAAAACCCUCAAUGAUCCCUUCCUGGCAACUAUGUUACUAGCGAAACUAGCAAAGUUUAAACUAUUUAAACAAGCCACUAGCACUGUCAACAUUAAAAUGUCUUUUGCAGGUAUAUCUCUCAUUGAUGGCAAAUGAAGAUAACAUCUCUCAUUAGUGGCAAGCGAAUAUGACGUCUAUAACUUCUUGACAUGAUUAUAAGAUUACAUGCUGGAGAAUUAGAGGACCUCAAUUUUUUUUUGUUUUACAUUAAUUUCUAAUUAAAAGAGUGUCAAAUUUUAUGAAAUUUUUUUCCUUCUUGUUCACACUAUAUCUUUAUUAAGUAUCAAUAACGACUCACUACAAAGUUUUCUCCUUGGAUUGGGACGUUAUGUCUUCCCAUUUGCUGCUUGGCCCAUAUGUGUUCGAAUUGCAAUGAAAUAGUGGGGAGUGGGACGUGGUCAAAUAUUUUGAGUGCAAAGCAUCAAACCGUAGGAAACACAAGUUGUUGAGUGUUGGAGGGUAACGAUCAACACCUAAAAGUAGGGUUCUUUCAAAAUUUUGUACAUCUUUGGCUUGUUUGUGUAACCACGAGGUAACAAUAACUGCAUAAAUAAAUUCAUAUAUAAACAUAGUGGGAAACAAUACGACAUCAUUCUGGUGUCACUUGCAAAUCAUAAAUGUUAAAUUUAGUGAUAAUACAUAUGAAAAAUAUCAAGAUAAGCUGCCACCUUUGACCUCUAAAAACAAUGAUGAAGUAAAAUUUUGGAUUCCAGAGGCCAUGAGGUGUUGGUCAUUCACACUUUUGCUUCCUAAUCCAUUAACUUAUAUAAAGGACAAAAUUAAUAUAUUUUAAGGCCACUAUGUAUAUGUUUGCAGUAUUUAAGAUAAUAUAGGUUUCCAUGUAAUACUAUAAGGACAAAAUUAAUAUAGUUUAAGGCCACCAUGUAGAUAUUUGUAAUAUUUAAGAUUAUACAGGUUUCCAUGUAUAUGUUUGCAGUAUUUAAGAUAAUAUAGGUUUCCAUGUAAUAUUUAAGAUUCUAGGUUACCAUGUAAUACUAUAAGGACAAAAUUAAUAUAUUUUAAGGCCACCAUGUAGAUAUUUGUAAUAUUUAAGAUUAUACAGGUUUCCAUGUAAAAUUUUAGACUGCAAUACUUGAGACAGAAAAUUAUGUUAAUCCACAUGUUGUACAUUACGUCUCUUUCAACUUUACAAAGAAGAGGGAAUUAGUUAACAGAAUUCACUAAGGCCGUAGAUCUAAACUGCAUCGUGACCCCUCAACUCUCAACUAGGACCUUUGAUCCAAUGGUCAAACCAACGAGGAUAAAAAGAGAAGGUCAAAAGUGAAGGAAAGAAAAUUAACUUAAUAAUUAAUUAAAAAAAAAAAAAGAUAUCUGAAAGAUGAAUAUUAUGAUUCCUUUUUACUGCGGACACCAGUUAUUACUUCCACAGGAGCUUAUGUCCAAAAGUUCUUCCAAAUACUCAACGCCCAAAUCCUCUAAUACCAUCACAUUUUGUGGCAAAACUUCAUUUACUUUUCUUUGAUCCGUGUUUUGGCUAACUGGUUUAUUACACUUUUUGUGCAUCGACUUUCUUUUCAUGGAGUGCCUCCUCUUGAGUGCGAUGACAGGUGAGCACGCUUCAUCGUGUUUAUACUUGAUUUCCUGAAGAGACUCUUGGACAACUUGUGCUGGAAAAUUAAGCACAGCCAAAGAACCCCUCAGUGCAAAUGCAGCUUGGUCAUAAGCUAAAGCAGCUGCCUCAGGGCUAUCGAAUGUGCCGAGCCAAACCCGAAUUCCAUUCCUUGUUGAGUCUCUUAUUUCGGCAGCAUAUUUUCCCCAAGGCCUUCUCCUCACCCCUCUAUAAGCCUUCUCCUUUGUGGAUUUUUCUUCUAGGGGUUGGUUGUUGGCUGAAGUCACCUCCUCUUCUUUAACCCUAUUGAAGCUGUUCGCCUCGUUCUGUGCAACAAAUGUCUGUUUUGCGCCUCUGGCCACCACAUCGUAGAGCAACAUGUCUAGGGAGUCGUUGAUGUUAGACGCUGAAAAGUUCAUCAACUCAUGGCCAUUGAAAGGAAGUAGUAGUGAUUCAUCAUCCCAUGAAAAGCAGUCUAGUGAACCGAAGGAGGAAUCCGAUGAGAAAUCUGAAGGACUUGAAAAUUGGAAGAAAGCAGACUCCAUUUCCAUGUGGGUUGGGAUUGAAAGGGUGUCUAAAUUUGUGGUUUCCUUUUGUUCCUUCUUUUUCUUGAGGGUGUGGGUGUUUCUUUGUUAUGGUACCAAAAAGGCCAAGGUCCUAUAUAUACAUGAAGAAAAAUAAGAAGGUUUUUGAAUUUUGAACUAAAGACGCCCCAUAAGAUUACAAGGGCAGAUAUUAGAUAAUGUAAAUGAUUAAAAUAAGCAAUGAAAGCUACUAGUUAUGGACAGGGAGGAUGUUUUAGGAUUGUCCACCAAAAUCUACAGAAGCUUGCGUUCUUUGGUUAUAACACGGACCGUACUUUUAGGCACGUGGGUCAAAUAAGGCCCGGCGGCGGGGUCUGACCUAAAUUAACAAAUUACAUAUAAUUAUAUGAUUGUGAAGUUGCCGUAGCAUCAUGGUAAUCCACAAGGCUCAAUCCACAAUUAUUUGUAAUCGGGUCGGUUUGCAUAACGAAUUGAAUAAACAGUUUGUUUCAUAUAUAAGGAAUUUAGUUGUGGAGUGGUGCAGCUGGCCAUGGGAGCCAGUCGGCUAAACAAACAACAAACAUUAUAAGGGUUAAGGAAAUUAUUAUGGGUUUGGAUUAUUUCUCCUUCCAUUUAAAAAAAAAAAGAUAGGAGAGAAUCUAACUCCAAUCAUUAGUCAUCCACUAUAUAAAAAAGAGGACAUGAUUAAUCCCAUUAAUGAUUUUUUGUUGUAGACUUGCAUAACUCAAAUAAUUAAAAAGAAAACUAAUGAAAAUGACUUAAAAAGUUUGAAUUUUAACGAAGAGGACAAAAUAAAUGGUAAAAUGAAUAGUACUAUAAUUGAUUUUUUAAUGUAAAAAUAUGAUUUUUCGUUAAAGUAAAUAGUACCAGGAGCUUUUCGUUAAAGUAUCCAUAAUUAAAAUCAUUUUUUCCGUAUUUAGAAUCUUGAAUGCUUGUUGCGCCCUAUAAUUUCUAUCUAAGCAGUAUCUGCUCCACCUACUAGCCCUAAAACCGUGGGUGUAGGUUGUUUUUAUUUUUUUAUUUUUUAUAUUUAUAAAUGAUAAGUAAUUUACAUCAAAUUCAUUAAACUACAAAAAAGAAAAUUCGAACAUAGAACUUUGUAUUUUGUAUGGACGAAUACUUUUAUCCAACUGAAUCAUUUGCGUGAGUGUAAGUCGUUUUAGUGGAAUAAGUAUUGCUACAAGCCACAUAUAAAAAGAGAAUAUUUUUAUAAAUGAAUUAAACAAAUUAUAUACUACUAAAUUGGGUUUUGUGUGAGGAAUCAAAAUAUGAAUACAUAUAAGAUCCAUCGACAUCAUUUAAGUAUUUAAAAAGCUUCAGGAGGAAAUAUUGAUGGUAUUUUUAUUAUCUGAUUUUGUCUUUUCUCAAAACUUGAUUUUUGAAUACUAUAAAUCUAUAGCAUGCUUUAUUGCAUAAACCAAUUAUGUCUUUACACUUGAGUGCGGAGUUGACCGUCACCGAUCUCUCCUCUUCUUAACAACCAAUAAUUUAACACACUAAUGCUAUCGUAUAUUAAAAUAAAUAAAUGAGAAUAAUACUUGGGUACUGACUGUUUAGUACCCAAAACAGUGACCCAAUGACGUGGUCCAGUAAUAAUAAAAUACCUGUCGUUUAAACUCUCCCCAAAUACUCGUUGUCUUGUUAACCAAACACCCCACUUUCAUCUUAAACCCAUAACCAAACACUCAUCUUCUUCCUUGCUUCUUCCCAGGCCCAGUGUCCCCACCUCUUUCGGUCGAUCUCAUCCCGCAAACCCCUCCUCCGACCACCAUUCCGUCUCCCUUCGCCGGAGACCUCGUCGCCUCCAUCCUUGAUCUGGAAAUAUACCUUAUUGCUUGUGAAGGAAAAAUUAAUAAGUAGUACUGAGAUCUAUAGCCAUAGAGGUUGUUAAGAGAUGGAUGGUGCAUAUGGACAACAAAGAGGAAGGAUCGAAACUUGGCUUCUGGGCUGAAGGACAUGAAAUUGUUCUGUGUUUCUCCAUCGUUGGGGUUAGAGAAGAGAGAUGUUUGGUUGCAAGAAUAGCUGAUAAUUUUAAUAUAUGUAAAUUAUACACAUGUAUCUUUGUUUGUGGGCCAAGUCACAGUCAGUAUACUUGUGGUACUGAACAGUCGGUGCCCAAGUAUUGUCAAAUAAAUAAAUAAAUAAAACCUCAUAAGUUUGGAAGUAUUCUUAUUCACCAUCAUAAACUAUGAUGUAUACUCACCAUACACCUAAUCAAUUGACACGUGUCAUUUCAUUUAAUUUUGGUUAAUUUUUUUCAAAAUUGAAAAACUAACAUUUAAUAUGAAAAUUAGCUAGAGUUAAGUGAAAUGACACGUGUCAAUUGAUUAGGUGUAUACCACAUAGUUUAUGGUGGUGAACAAAAAUGCUCUCGAAUUUAACCAAAUAUGCAUAUAAGAUGCCAUAAAUAACUUCAAAAUAAUCUGACAUAAAUAACUUCAAAAUAAUCCGACAUCAUUAACUUCAUAAAUAAUCUGAAGUGGAAACAUUUUUAUAUAAUUUUGUCUGUUAUGUGGUUUGAUUACGCGAGUCCGGAUCCUCUUUGUGGGGAUCUCUAAAAUUCGUGAAUUGUAUCCGUUUAUCGUAUAUCAUGCGGUCAGAAAUCAUUUUAAAUAUUUUUAUUUAAAAUUAAACAUAAACAGUACUUAACAAAAACUGACCACACGAUAUAUAGUGAAUGAACAUGAUUCACGGAUCUCCAGGAUUCUCACUAAAAUGAUCCGAAGAGGAUCCUGUUGGUGAUUACACUUUUUGUUUUUGAGUUACAAAUGUCCCUCCAAGUUAUUGAUUUUGCUUUAUUUUAUUCAGUUUUGAUACAUAAAAAGAGCUUCAAAUUUUAUCAAAAUAGAGAAGAAAACAAGUGUUGAGGGAUUUUUCAGACGUACAAUACAUGAAACAUUAAUCGAUUCAGGUCUAAUUUCACAUAAAACUUCUUCCUUUAAGAGCGGUUCUAAACAAAACUAUAUGGAUUCUUUCAACUAGGAGUGUCGCCUAAACAAUAUUGUAAUUUAUACAUAAGAAAAAUGAAGUUAGCCAACAUGAGAAAAGGACAGGAACCUGGAUCUUUCAAAUUUCAUCUGCAACUCAAAUUUUAGAAGUACCAUUUGUCCUAAAUUGUAUUAUUAAACAGAAAAAAAAAAAAAAAAAAAAAACCAAGAUAGUUGAAUGAAAAAGUGAAACCCCUUACGCAUCAAUUGUCAUUUUCAAUGGUGCUGGAAAUUAAAGUUUUAGACCAAUAAUGCCUAAGAUUACCGACACUUUAAAAUUCGAUUCUUAAAUUUCUUACUGAUCUUGGAACGAUCUUCAUGCCAGUUUGUGGGUCUGUGGUUUUGUAUCACGUGCACUUAAGGAAUUUUCGGUAUAUUGUAACACGGCUACUUAUUGUUACUAUUUAAUUUAAAUCAUAACACAUAAAUUUAACUUAUAGUGAGGUAUACUAUCUUUUUAAUCCAUAUUUAUUAUAACACGUAAAGUAAUAAAUCAAGUGACGUACGUUUCUUGUAGAGAUAAAAACUCCUCAAUAAUAGCUAAAUAUAGAUAAUUUAUAUUUUACAUAUUUAUUCAAAUAUCAUAAGUGGAGAAUUUUAUAUGGAUUCGGUCGGUCAAUUGACUUUUGACUUGCUGCAUUUCAUGCACAGAUGGUCAUGUCUUACAAUGCUUCGUUGUGCAUGGUGACAUUUUAUUUCGACUGGGUUUCUACAUCUUUAACAAAUUUUAGUCAAACAACUUCUUGAGUUGUUAAAAGGUCGUUAAUUCUAACUUCUGUAGCCGGUCCUUGAUAUCCAUGAAAAUAAAAUAAUACAAAAAAAUAUUAACGGGAGGUAUUCAAAAUCAAAUUAGAAUUUGAAAUUUUUUACUUAAGUCCAUAUAACUUCUUUUUACUCUCAAUUUAAACUUUAUAUAUGAAAUAUCUAUAUAAUCCUAUUGCAUAAUUGUCAUCAAGUACAAGAUACGAUCAAUAAAUAAAAUAAGAAAUAUUAUUAGCACUCCAAAAAUCUCAUUUAGCACUCUAAACUUUUAAUAAUUAGAAAGAAAAAUAUACUUGUGAGGAGUGUAGAAUGAGAUUUUUGGAGUGCUAAUAACAGUUCCCAUAAAAUAAGGUUUAUCAAUAAACGCACACCCAAUAAUCAAACCCUAACAAAAAAUGACAGCAUCGUAGAUAUCAUGUUAUUAAAAAAAUGAUCAGCAAUACAAUUUUUAUGUUUAUGUACAUGCUUCUUUCUCUUACACCAAAAAUAACAAUAUCAAUUACAAAUAAACAAGAAGUUUUCUCACCAAAUAGAGCUGCUCUCAACUAGAUUUCCUAUCUUCCAUCGAAUUGCUUCUCAUGUAUUUUUGUUGCUUCUGAGUUUUCUAAUUUCAAACAGGUACAAUUUGAUUAACUUAGUGGAUCAAUUCCAUUGCCGAGGUAUUUAUAUGAUUUAAUCUUUUUAGGGUACAGGCUCCUUGGUCUCCUAAAUGUUGACCAUACAUAUUCUCUUAUACUUCAAAACCUCUCACAACAUAAUGGAAGAAGAAUAAUCUUUACAACUUUUUUCUCCUGAACGCAUGAUUCAAGACCAGAAUGUUAGAAAUGCUACUUCUUUCCUACCUCCUAUUAUUUUGUUUCAUGGCACUACAAAUUACUUCAUACCAUUACCAUCAAAUGUCAAGUAUACGUUUCCCCAUAAAUGAAUUAUUUGAUUGCAUGUAGUUAUUUCUUAAUGAAAAUAUUGAAAAUCUAUAUAGUUGGCGCAAAGCAACUUAGAAUUUACCAAGAGCAACGAUGUAGAGGAUGAUGGAAACUCUAUAAAAAAUAAAUAUUGGAAGGAGAUAAUGUUUGAGGAAAGAAUGCUUUGAUUUUGGUUUUUUAUUUUAAAAUGGGUGUAAAGAUAAAUUUAUAUAUUGAAUUGGGCUUGUGAGGAUAGUUUAGGUAGUAAAUUUGAGUUUAAAGAGAUAUUAAUAGUUUAAUUAAAAAUAAUAUGGGUGCAAAGAGUAAGCUGAGUGUAAAAAGUAGUUAUAUGAGUUCAAAUAAAAUUUCCUUAGAAUUUUGAGGGAUCACUUAGUACUACUGUGAAAUCCCGUUCCUGGAUUUCACUAUUGUAAUCUACAUAUUUCGUAUUCGCGGGAUUUUAUGGUAUUUUCGCGAAUUUAAAUUUAUUUUAGAUUUUAAUUACUUAAUUACAAAGUUUGAAGUUUUGAAAAUAAUUACUAAAUCCGUAGACCUAUGGGGGUCACUCUUAAUGUUUUUUUUAAUUGGGCUCAACCCACGAGCGCAUAGGGGAAGGGCGUUCGUGAAUUGGGACAAGAAAGGAAACGUUACAGAAGUUAAAAGUUUUUAUAAAAUAAAUAAAAAAAAGGUUAACAACUGCCAGAGGGCAGCAAGAGAGAAUAGGAGGUUGCGGGAGAGAAAAAGAUGGGAGGUUGGCCAAAUCGGGAAAGGAGAGAGGAAGAGGAUAGGGCAAUGGGAAGAGGGGAAAGGAGAGAAAUGAGGGAAGGAGAGAAGGGGGAUAGGAAGCCUAGCGAGCCAGGUCAUAGAUGGACCCAUAAACCCAACGAAAAUUUAUGAGUUCCAACAUCAAUUCCGGUGUUUUUCCGGCGAUCCAAAGCUUGUCACCACCUGAAAAUCAAUCACCAUUAUCCCCUAUUUAGUUUACACCCAAGAUUGUUGGGGUUUUGGCCCCGUAUCACGAAGAACGGAACCAUCGGUUCUGGGGGUGCCACAAUAGAAAUCCACCAAUCGUGAAAGCUACGUCGACCACCACCACCACCACCAAAACACCCCUCUUGAGGCUUGGAACAAAGCACAACAACUAUAGGGGCGGCGGAGCACCGAAGGUGAUGGAUCGAAGCCACCAAUUUCUAGGGUUUUUUGACAAGUUCAAGGGAAACUAGGGCUUUUUCUAGCCAAAUUGGACUUGUCCAUAGGUAUAAAACUUGCUCUACUCAUUGAGAUCUUCAUUUCUAUGAAAUUUGGUAAUUUUUUGAAAUAGUUGAAUUUUUCGGGGAGUCGGGGCUACCGGCCGCCACGUGAGGCGGCGUGUGGGCCAAGACCCCACUUACCCUUCCUAGACUAAUUUAGAUACCCUAAUUCCAUAUGUGACGUUUGAUUGACGAAAACUCGUCGUAUGACUAUAGUUUUGAUAGGGACCACCACUUAGACAUUAUAUGAAUUGAUGAUUCGACCAUUGGAUUGGCAUCAAACUUAAAUACGUAAUAGUACAUAAUAUUUGAGGAUAUUAAGAACUUAUGGAUUGGAAAGCUGGCGUACGGAUCUUCCCAAAUUGGAUUUCUAAGUUUGUAAAACCAAUUGUCGACCGCCACUUGAUUUAGUGAUUGGUGGAGAUCCGACCGUUGGAUUUCAAUGAAAUUGUAGUAUGUUAUUCUAGAAGUAUAAUGUGGACUUUGAAAAGUUACGGAUCAAAAAUCUGAAUGGUGGAUCUUCCGGUUUAGAUUUCUAGGUUUAUGGACCCUACUCUCGAUCUUGAUCAACAGUUGACUUUUUAGUCAACUAGACCGAGUUAUUCUAGUGUGUUGUUUAUCUUAGAGUGUUGUUGAGAUCUCAGGGAGCUUAUGGGCUCAUUGUGUUGACGCGUGUCUCGAUUUAUGUCUUAGUGGCACCAUAUUGAGUUAUACUUGUUUAUUAAAUGUGAUUUAUAUUGAAUUGUUAUUUUUAUUUUUAGCCAUCGAUCUAUGUUUAUUAAUUGUGAUUCGACCGUAGUUUGGAAACGUUUAUGAAAUGUGGUUUGAUUUGUAUGAUUGGUAUGAUGUGUAUGAUUGUUUUUAUGAUAAUGUGAACCUAGAAUCUUAUUAUGAGUAUUAUGUAAAACUUUUAUGCUUGUAUGAUAAGAUAGUUAGUGGUCAUGAAAAGUUGAUAGUGUAGGCGCCUACGUUGCAAAUCAUAGGGAUUGAGGUAAGAGUAGAUUGUGUGCUGAAUUGAUUGCACCAGGUAGCAGUGGUACUUAGAGGGUCAUGCUUGGCAUAUCUGCGAUGAAGGACCAUACGUAUUUUAAGGGUGAUCAUGCUUGGUAUAUCCGCGAUGGGUGAUCACCGCCUACAUGAUUAGACUAUGCCUAUGGUCCUGCUUGGAAUAUUUGCGAUGGGGGACCAUACAUAUUCUAGGAGUGAUCAUGUUUGGUAUAUCCGCGAUGGGUGAUCACUACCUAGAGUUAUAGGAUACAGUCUUGCUUGGUAUAUCCACGAUAAGGGACUGUUAGAGGUGAUCAUGCUUGGUAUAUCCACGAUAGUGGACCAUACGCAUUUUAGAAGUGAUCAGGCUUGGUAUAUUAUUGAUGGGUGAUCACUACCUAGAGUUAGGAUGUGCUCCUGCUUGGUAUAUCCGCGAUGAGGGACCAUACGUAUUCAGGGGUGAUCAUGCUUGGUAUAUCCGCGAUAGGGGACUAUACGCAUUCUAGGAGUGAUGAGGAUUAGUUGUACUUGGUACAUUUGAUAGGCAAUCAUAUUUUAAUUUGGUUCCGUUUAGUGGUCUGGAACCCGAUGUUGUUGAAUUUCGUUGAGUGGUCCGAAAUCCCAUUCUUUAGAAAUGUAGGCUUGGCUGAACUGUGUCACUCUAGCCUUAGCUUUUAGUGUAUUUGUGAAUAAUGGUUUCGAGAAUCUUGUGAAUUGAAUUAGAAAAGCUGUUGGACGUCUGGGUGACUCAUUCGGGAUUUCCAGUGAUUCAAUUAUGAUUUCAUAAAGUAUGAAUUUAGAAGGUAUGGACAUGAUUGUUAUUAUUUGGUUAAAUUAGUUAAUUAAUAUGGAUAGAGAAUGGUAUUGUGCUUCGUCAGUUCUUUGAUAUGAUACAUGAUGUGAAUUGCGAUAUCAUGUUGAAACAUAGUGAUUUAUAUGAUGGAUGAAUUGGAAAGCAUAUGUGUGGGAAUGGCAUACCUGCGUGCAUGAUAAGGUGAUAAUUGUUGUUUGGCUUAUGGUUGAUGUGCAAUGUGGUACUCUAUGAUUCUGCUAGAAAUAUUUUACGAAAAGAUUAGAGUUUGACAAAUGGUGAACUACGAAUGGCUUGAUCCCUAUUAAGGGUACGUAGGCAGUCUAACAAGGAGGUUAGAUGCAACCAUAAAGCGUACAAAAAAUCACUACUCAGUUGUAUUGUGAGUUGUGCUUUGUACAUAUCCCAGAGGCGAGGUAUGUUAGAUAUACAUGAAAUUGGUGACGUCACAUGUUGACCCUGGACGUAUGUCGGGAUCGAGGUGUGACAACUAUGGUCUAGUGAUAUUCCUCUUUACUUGUAACUAAGAUGUUUUAGGUUCGAUUCUCGUCAAAGACGAAUUUAAACCACAUUGUUGCUAGCGUAUUUUGAAGCUUAGCUCACUCCUCAAUCCCCUAGUGUAUAUAAUAUCGUUUAUUUUAAAAAAAAAUUUAGAAUUUUGAGAGAUUUUAAUGAAUUUGUAAAUUCAUGGAUUUUUCUGGAGUUUAGUUCAUUAGUAGAGAUUUCAAGUAUCAUUUUGAUUCAAUUCCCUCAAAAUCUCAAUGGUGGAUGUGAGAUUUGUGAAUGCUUAAAAUAUACUAGGAAAUCUCUCAAACUCCCUACAAUUGCUCAACUUUUUAAAUUUUUUUUACAAUUAAUUCCUAAUUAAAUACACCUAGUGACACACCCCGACCUGAAUCAAGGCAUGUUGGCCAUCACGUGAAGGUGACGUAGCCAUGUGCACAGUGCGGAAGCAAUGAAGAUAUAAGGAAAUGCGAAUAAAUAGAACCAAGUUACCAGCAAUACUAACUAAGAAAAGGUGCUAGUGCUAGAUUAAGAGUGAAAUACAUAAUCAGAGCACAAAUAGCCUAAGUGCAGUCCGACUGGACAAGUACUAAUUAUAUGACACCCAAAGGUGAUCCUACAUUUAUGAUGUUCUGUCAACCGUCAUCGAAAUCCCCGUGAGCCACCAAAGCACUUCUACCUAAAACCUGGAGGGGUGCAUAACAGAAAGUGUGAGUGGGCAAAAACAAAGCUUUUCAAAAUCAUUUCAUUUCUUAAAAGUUCUAACCCCUCGCUGUAAAACCUGUAUAAUUUCCCAGAAAAUAUAGUAUAUGCUAUAUCAGAAAUCAUGCUCAGGACAAAAUCCAUAGAAAUAUACCAUGUCAAAGUAUCUCAAUAAAAUGCCAUAAAUAAUUCAGUUAAAAUGUAUCAAUGCCAGGUAUCAUAUCAGCUGGAUCCACCUAAUGUCACAUACACGGCUGAGUAUAUAACUCAUAAUCAAUCUCAAUCAUAUCAAAUCCUGCACACGAGUCGGAACCAUCUAAAGUGGUAUGUACGACAAGAUUAGGUUUAAAAUAAAUAUGUUCUAGUGCUACGAUCAUGUGAAGACUGUGCGAAUAAUUGUGGGUCACCUACGAGUCGAAACCACCUAAUGUGGUCUGUACGACAAGCUUGUGCACCUAACUUGGAUCCAAGGUGAGCAUAUGAUGCGAGAGGUGAACAUCACGUGAAUGACUAUGCCCUAACUCUGGGAGGGAGCACUAACACCGGGGUGCAGGUUUAUGAGCUCUCAAUACAUCACAUCAUAUCUCACAUAACUGAAGCAAUCUCAUAUCUUUAAUUCAUGAACUUACCUGGCACCUACCUAUGCGUCCGCAUCAUCAAUCGUAAAUAUAUGCAACUACUAAUGCAUAAAUAAAAUAGGUAGAUACUUUGCAUGGCAUUUCAAAACGUAUAAUCAAUGAAUUUCAUUUUCUCGAAAAAAUCUCAAGUAUAUAAGUAUAUACGGAAAACCAAAAGCCCACUCACUGGUAUGUUGAAGGGUUGUAGCCCCCGAGCCUCGAUUGAUGGCACUCGUCCUCAGGAAAGGUAUCACUUAUAUGCGAAACAACUAUAUAAACGUUAUUUAAAGCACAUACACAAAACUAGGAAAUAACUUCUCAUACAUUGCUCAAAUGGGGUAUUUGAAUAUACCACCAUGACCUACUCAACCUCAAAAACAUCCCCAUAUUUUUAGAAAAAUUUUCUGAGCACCCACGCGCCCUCACGCGCUGGCCAAGGCAAGACCAGACGCGGGGCUCACGUGCAGGCACGUGCUUGGCACACCAAACAAAUUCCCUAAUGGCAUUAGGGAAUAUUCCGUUAAAUAUAAGUACAUGCCGUUAAAGUUACCUGACGGCGUUAGAAUAUUCCGUCAACUUUGAUGGAAUAUUCUCCUCCUUCUUCCUUGGUUUGCCGGAGUCCGGCUCCGGUCACCGCUGCGAUUGCCGGAAACUGGGAAAAUUAUAAAACUUUAUAUCUUCUUCGAUUCUUAACCAAAACUCAUGAAACUUAAACCAAAAUGAAGCUUGGGACGAAAGGAACAAGUUCUUACCACUCAAGAGUCCUAAAACCAACGGGAAGUAGUCGGAAAAUCCUUCGAUAUUCCGGUCACUCCUACAACUCACCAAACUCAAGCUUCCCGAUGUCCAAAACGCUUCAAAAUUACUCCCCAAGCUUCAUGAAGACGUUCUAAAGCUUCCUAGAACCUUAAAACUUGAAGAAAAGGCCACGAUCACGAGUGCAUGAAUAGUACCCACGAUCGGGGUUCCUGGGUUCUUGGGUUUUCGAAGGAUUCACAUUCAACUAAGGGUAUGGAUGAGUUCCUGAGCUCACCAGGAAUACGAAUAUGGCCUCCAAAACCUCUAUCUGUGAAGAAAUUGUUUGGUUUAAGGUUUAUCCGUACGUAUUGUACGGACAAUGGAAGAAAAUCGAGAGGGAAAGAGAGAGAAGAGUCAACAGGGUUGGGUAUGGGUGUGAGUGAGUGUGUGUGGUCCAGUUUUGGGUUACUAACAACAACUAAAACUUGAACUUUAAGUUUCAAAAACUUAGGAACUAACUAAAUUAAUUUAAAAUCCAAACUCAAGCCACAACACUACAUAACGUACUUGACGUCCAAGGGCAAUUUAGUCAUUUCACGCCAUCGAUAAAAUAAUUCGGGACGGGUUGUGAUACCUAGAAUGUUAUAAACUUCUUUAAAAUCCUAAUUGAUUACAUCCGGAUUUCUAAAGAUUUUAAUAAAUUAUUUUAGAAUCCUGAUUAAAUACACUUUGAAUUUUAGAGAAUCACUUAAAAUCCUGAUUGAAUAACUCUAGAUUUAUUAUUAAAAAAAAAUUCCUCAAAAUCACAAUUGAAUACCACCCCUAUAUGUGUAUGAGAUAUCAAUCAUAUUGAUCAUAACUUAUAAGUCACCUUGACACAAAAUGAAAAACCUAGGAUGAAAUGACUAUUAUCUAUAGUAAACUAAUUCCACAGAAAUUUUAAUUUACAUUUAGUAAUUUCAAUUUAUCUUUCUGAACCAAUUUUCUAGUUGUCACAUAAUUAUAUAAUUCAUGACAUUUGUUGGUUUCUUUUAAAAAGAAUAGCUAUAUAUUUUAAUUAAUUUAAUGUUAAAGUUUGAUAAAGGUUGAUGACUAUAUUUGAUUUAAGAAAGAGCGAUCUUAAUUAAAAAUUUCAACAUUAGAUUAAUUAAUUUAAAGUUAUAGUUUUUUUUAGAGUAAGGAUAGUAGAUUCCACUCAUAAAAAAAUUAAAAAAAUAAUAAAAAACAGUUGGAUUUUAUAUUAUGAUUAUUAUAAUUGUAACAGUUGAAUUGGGCUAUGAUGACUACAUUUCUUUAUGUUAAGAUUAUUGUAACAUAUAACUUUUUGUUAAAAUUGGAUCCCUUAAAUCCCAACCUGUGAAUAUAAUAACAUCCACUUGCUUACCGUAACCUACCGCCUCAAAUGUUAUGUGUCACAUCCCCGAACAUAUUUUUUUCUGUUAAGUUUCACUGUCGGCACGUUAUUCUUUCUUAAAUACUAUUUAGCUAAAAAACAAAUAAAGCUAAAAACAAAUAAAAAAAGAUCGUUUGUAGUUUCAGUUUAGUGUGGUCCAAAAUAAAUCCAGAUGGGUAUCGGGCGGCGGUGGCCAACUUUUCAACUUGUGUUAGGAGAUGUGAGUAAUAUUGUUAUAAUCACCACCACACUUUUGGGGCAUAUAUGGUGUAUUUGGAUCGAAGUUCUUCGUUAGGUGCAUGAACCAUACGAUAAGAGACAUUUAGAACGUGCGAUAAGAUUGUGUUUUAUGAAGGAGUUUCUGAUCAAGAACGUUAGACUACGAAAGUAUUCGGAUUAAGUGAAACUUUAAAGUAUUUGGAUUAAGAAAACCCUAAUUUCAUUUUAUGGUGGUUGUAUAAAUAAAUCAUGAUUAUCCCUUGUGUAAUUUUGUUAUUAAAGCGAGUAAAUGCAUGUAUCUCCAGUCUUAUAAGUGACACCUGCAUAAGAUAUGAUCUGAAUAAGAAAGAAAUUAAUCAAUACUAAUUGGUGGAUUUGGAAGUUAAUUUGACAAUGCAUUAAGAAAUAUUCCAUGACCAUUUCAGUUAACUAUACCAACAACAAGAUCACACAUGUAAAAUACAAAUUAAGAAGACAAAUUGAGCUGAUGGAUUAUACGUAUAUGGGCAGAAUGCAAGAAGCACUUGCCAAAAAAGUCAGAAGUGCGGAAAGCUACUUAGAUAAGACCAUGAUGUAAGAACGUCAUAAAAGUUUUUGAUUUUAUUAAUUAAUUAAUAUUCGACAUUUAAUUUUUCCCUAAUCUCAUCAAGCAUAUACUAUAAGGAAUCCAUAUUUUAUGAUUCUUUUUGCCCUGAAAUGUACUGAACGGGGCUAAAUGCAUCGCAUGCUCUCACUAUCUCACCGUCACUCAUAUGAGCUACCUCAAUAUUUUUAGCUUUUCAUUUAAGCAUGUGCGGAUUUACAAUUUUUCUUAAUUAUAUUAAUAUAAGGGAUUCUUCAAAAAAAAAAUCAAGAUAAUGUUCCAAGUUGCAUGCUUGAGUACUUUCCAAGAACUUCUCUUUAUGUCUCUUUUUAAUUUCUACUUAAUUUUGAAUAUGUUUUUGAACAGUCACUUUAUUCUACAGUUUAGUGGUAUUUUUUUUCACUUGUAAGUGAGAUGUCUUAAGUUCGAUUAUUGUCAAAUGCGAAUUUAAAUCACAUUAUUGCUAACCUAUUAUGAGAUUAAGAUCAUCUCUUAUUCCUUAAUAUAGAUAAUAUCGUUUGAUAAAAUUAAAAAAAAAUUGUUUCUGAGCAAAAAUCUAGCUCUACCCGAAUUUUCAAUGACAUAAAAAUUAAACCAUUGAUCGAUAAGAUUAUGGUAUGCGUACUAUGUACGUGCCCUAGCUCUUUCCUGGAAGCUCACUCUUGAGAGUAGAGAGAGAGAGUUUUUUUUUUUUGUGGGUUUAUGUCAUUCGGUCAUUGCAAGAUUGCCCAAAUAAUGGAACAAGCAAUAUUUGCAACUUGCAAUUAGAAAUAUAUUUUAUUAGCACAUUUUCAAGAAAAUUGAAAUCCACAUCUUUUGAAUAUAAGUUGAAUGAGCUUAAUUCAACAGGAAUAUAUGAAUAAUAGACCAUUCGCCAAAUUUGAUUACUAGCUAGAUAGAGAAGAAUUAUCUAGAUGUGCGCCAUAUUAUAUAAAUGUACGACAUUAUUAUUUUUUAAUAAUUUACUCUAAUAUUUGUUGUAACAUUGGAUUAGUUUGGGUUUCUUUAUCCCACAUAUAUAUAAAAUUAUAUGCAUAUAUUGACCAAAUUUUUAGUGCAGAAAAUUUAAGUUCUAACUCGGAAACAACUUUUGUACUUUUAUGGUUUUGGCUUACAAUUUUAGCCCGAAAUUGUAAAUGAAUGAUUUUAGCCUAAUUUUUUUCCAUUUACUUUUUUUUUUAAAUUAAAAUUUAUGUAGGUUAUCAUAAUUUAUAUUUAUGAACACUUUAACCUAAAAAAAUAUUUAAAUUUCUGAUAAAUAAUGAAAAAUCACUAAACUUAUCUCAUUCUCACACAUAUGAACCACAUGAAAGAAAGUGGAAAACCGCACAACCUACCCCAUUCUUAAACACAAGCACAUAGGUGAGUAGAAAGAAAAAAAAUGAAGAAUUGUUUGACAAAAGUGAAUUUUGUGUGGAUAUUUCAACAAAUACAUAGGUAUUUAUAGAGCUCUUGGGUGAAUUUUGAUGUAAAUAAUUUUUUAAUUGUUUUAGUUGUUGGAUUUAAUUUUGGGUUGUUAGAUCCAUUUUUUAUAGUUAAAUUUGCUCAUAUUCGAUCUCAACCAUUGAUUUAAUGUAUUUAUAAAUUUGAUUUUUUAAAAAAAAAAGAGAUUGAAUAUGGAUCGUUGGUUGAACCAACAGUACAACCACGUGGGUCGUUCGAUAAAAAAAAUAGUCAUUAGUCUUUUUGAAAGUGACCGACAACGUCAGCGACUGGUCCUAGCUCAUUUUCUGGGCUAAGUUUGUCCUAAAAAUAAGUUUUAACCCAAAAGGAUUCUAAAGGUGUUUUCGACCCACAUGCAAGCUAUCAAGUCUCCAAAGAAUUUUUGUUUAAGAUUCACUGGAGACAAACAAACAAUUCGAACUAAGAAGGAAAUCCUACCUUAGCGUCACGUUGCAAAUAUUAAAAUCCUUGGUCUAGAAAGUGGGCAAGAUAAGAAAGUGGGAAUAUUUUUUCCAAGUUAUUUCAGGUACAAUUCAUUCAAGGUUUUCUCAUUCUUAAUCUGAUAAAUGCAUUUUGACAAGUACAGAUGAAAAGGUAAUAUGUGGGUUUAAUAUCAAUACCUGGUACUGGAGUAAGGUGGUACUCUGGAUAUCGUGAUUGGAAUCUUUAUGAAUACUAAGUUUGGUAGGUGAUGUUUUUGCAAAUCAACAUCACUGAGGGGAGCUUCAAGCUCUGUCCCAGCACACAAACUUGGAGCUUCGAGCUCUAUCCAAGCACACAAACUUACUUGUGUUUCGCUUUGUUACUUAUUUUCUCUCAAAGUUCGUUUACUUUGGAAAGAUUUAUCGUAUUAAAAUUUUAUUCCGUGAACAAGGAAGCAAGAGAUGAGAAAAAUUCGUGCAAACACGUUAUUAUCAAAGUCCAAUGAAUAGGGUACAAAAGGUACAACUGUUUAGGGGAGGCAAGCCUUCACCCCUAGCAUAUGACUUUUCCUACGAUGACUACAAUUACAAGGCAAACUUGACCAGGAUCAUCAAUUCUGAUGAGGUCCAGUCAUCACCAUCGACCAUUCCCAGAUGAAGGCAAGGAGGACUCCAAUGAAGAAGAACCCUCCGAAGAAUCUCAACACUUUGUUAAGGACCCAUAUGCAAAGACUAUGAUGAGGAUGUCACAUGGAGGUGAAUGUUAUAGAACAAGUUGUAAGAAGAAAUGGAGAUUAUUAUGGGAUUAUGGCUUGACUUUGUCUUGCCUACUUGCUUGGCAAAGAUUGAUUUGGUAAAAGUAAGUUUUUGGUUUGAGAAUUUCAGACCUCAAAAACUCAAAGAGGGAACUGGGUGUGAUAAAUGAAGAGGCUUCAUGAUAUAAACAAAAGGAAAUGGAUGAGGAAAACCUAAAAAGCCUCAACUAUGAGAAAGCUAUUUAAGGACAAGAUAUCAAGAAAUCUCACCGUUGAAGAUGAAAGAGUUUUUUCCUUGAGUGACUUCACUGGAAUGAACAUGCUUGCUCCUAAGAGCGGAGCCAGAAAAUUAACAGUUGAUGGGCUAGCUAAAAAGUAUAUAAAAAAAAAAAGUUGGUUUAAAAAAAAUGACUAUACGUUAAUCUUAUAAGAAAAGCUCGUCCAAUUAUUCUAUGUUCUUCAACCUUUAAUAUGAUAAAUAGAUACAUAAAUAAACAGAAAAAGAUUAACACACUGUACAACUUUUUUAAAUAGAUAAAAAUCAUGCAUAAAAUAAUCCAAAAACUAAAACAUGCAACGAGUUGCUUUUGAAAAGAAUUAAAAGCACUAUACAAGUAAGUAAUUAUUGUCACGAUUAACCAUAAAUGGAUAGUAUAAGAAGUGUAAAAUAGAUUUUGUUAUUUAGGAAAUAAAUAGUAUUGGUUAAUGAAGUAAAUAAAUAAAAAAUAUACAUGGGCUAAUAGUGAGAUAAAUAUAUAAAUAAAUGAAAUAUAGGGAAUAAUUGGUCUAUAUCUACAAGAGCUACCUAGGCUAUUGCCCAGGGUACUUGUACUUGGCUCCGCCCUCGCUUGUUCCGCAAGACACAAUGAUCUAAUCCAGGUAUGGAAUCAGCAAAAUCCUCUAUAUGUCUUAGAGUUCUUACAAUCCAGGAAUUGGUGUGCGCCGCAAGUAAUCACACUUCUAAAGAUGAUGCAAUUAGAACAAGGAUUCAAUAUUAAAAAAGUCUAUCUCCCCACCGGUAUAAAUACAUUCAUCUAUGGUUCAUCUCUGGUAACGCAAUCAUCACACUCUAAUUCACAUGUCAACUGCUUGAGUCUUAUAAUUGCUUACUAAUUUAGCUAUCGAAGAGCCUUUGGUCGUCACACACACACCCUUCACUCCCCCUCCCCAGGUCUUAGGCUUGCUCACGAUUGUUUGUUGUUUUAUAGGUUACUCGAAUUUGCGCCUCUAUCAUCCACAACGAUGCAUGGAUUUGGUUUUAAUAGCAGGCAUUUAUGAAAAAUGAGAUUUUCAUGAUAGAGAAAAAUGAAACUUAACAGGUUAUAGACAGACCUACAACCAAGCCUGCCAUUGGAGCCAAAUGGGCUUUUAAGACCAAACUCAAUUUGGAUGGUUCUAUACAAAAGUACAAGGCAAGGUUAGUUGCCAACGGGUAUGCUCAAAAGCCUGUAUGGACUUUAUCUGACAUUUGCCGUUGUGGUAAGAAUGGAUACCACUAGAACAUUGAUAGCACUUGCAACACAUAAAGGUGGGAAAAUAUUUUAAAUUGAUGUCAAGUUUGCUUUCUUAAAUGGAAUCCUCCAUAAGAAAGUCUAUGUUGACCAACUUGAGGGUUUUGUGAUACAAAUGCAAAAGAGAAUGUAUAAUGAAAUAGGCACCAAAGAGAUGGUAUGAGGAAAUUGAUGCAUAUCUAUUCAAAUGUGGUUUUGAAAGAAGCCCUAGUGAGUCUACUCUGUACAUUAAGGUCAAGGAUGACACUGUCAUUAUAAUCAUUACAAUGUAUGUGGAUGACAUGGUUUACAUAGGCAGCCGUGAAGAAUUGAUGACAGAGUUCAAGUCUGAUAUGAUGAAUAGGUAUGAAAUGACUGACUUGGGGUUGUUGCAUCAUUUCCUUAGCAUGAGAAUCCUGCAAACUGAGAGAAUGGUAUCUUUAUUGGGGAAAAGAAAUAUGUUCUAUCACUACUUGGCAAAUGUGGUUUGAAAAGAGUUUACGAAUGAGAAAAUUUGCAAAAAUGAUGGCAAUGAUUCAACUGAUGAAAGAGUUUACAGGAAAAUUAUGGGCAACUUAUUGUAUCUAACUGGUACUAGGCCUGACAUUAUGUUUGAUGCAUCACUGUUUGGACCCGAUUUACAGAAUCAGUUGGGCGUUGGAUGGACAAAAUAUUUGGAUCGCUCAUAGGAUAAAGAUGUUUUUAUUUCACGAUAAUUAUUCUGAUUAAAGAUAUCUAGAUAUUAUCAAUCAGAAUAGUUAUCUUGGAGUUUAAGUACAUCAACAAACAGAUUUUUAUCCAACAAGAUUGUAGUUGGAUUCCAUCUUGUCAUAUGGCCUUCAUGCAUGGUUGCGGCUGAAUAUAUCAGCAUGGGGUUUGAUUAGAGUUGUUUGAUGCAUGGUCUUCAUGCAGGCAUAUGUGACUUGCAGGUGGGAUAAGUUCCAGUAGCAAAUUGGAUAGAUGUUUCCAAUAUGUGGGGCGCAUGGGCAUUGAGAAAAACAAGGUGAUUGUUUUAGACGUGAAAAGAACCGUGUGUGACUAUCCAACAAAUUUAAUGAUGGGAUAAAGUUAAGUCAAAGUUGGAAUAAAAUAGGAUUAGUAUGCAGAGUCCUUAUGUGGUCAUCAUUUUAUUUCUCAGAAUAUUCCAUUACAAGUCUUUAGGUACAAUUGAAAUCCUCUGUUUAUCGUUCAGGCCGUGCUAAGCAAAGUACAUCAGCCCUAUAAAUACAUAGGCAGUAGCAACAGGGAAAGGCCUCUCCAAUUCAACACACAAACUGCCCUGGGCAAACCUUCGCUCUACGCAAAACCUCUCAACAAUCUUAAGAUUUUUGUUUUCUUUUUUCGUCGACAUACCUUCAGUUUGGUGUGGAGGCAACCGGUGAACAUCUUUAGUUUGGAUAAACAGCACUGUUGCAGUAGAAUCAGCCGACCGUGAAGACCUUCAAUUUGGAUAAACAGCACUGUAACAAGGUCAACUGGUUAUCUAUCCAAGUCUCGACGAAAUGAAGGUGUUACUAGAGCUCGGCAUAUCAAACGCCGAGUUGUUUAUGAUUCGGUAUUCUCAAGUAGGUUUUAGAGUUCGACAUUCUGACGACCGAACCACUUUCACGAUCAAGACAUACAUUUGCUUUGAGUACCUGUGUCCCUAUACUCUAGUGUCGAUUCGGCGUGCUUAUACUCUUACGAAUAUAAUCACUAUGAUCGAAUCUGGCACCGACGAUUUGUGAACUUCGCAGAACUAGUAGCCUUGUCUUUAGACUCUAGAACCCGAAGGCCGAAAAUGUUCCUUCCUCGGCUGCAGUUGCAAGAUCGAGAAGUCAGCCGCGCGCUCAACGCAACAUCAACACAUUUUACUCCUCAGCCGAGCCCGGCCAAUGAGUUGGCACGCCUUGCGAACAAUCGAAGAACGUAGUUAGCUUAUUAAUUACUCGGUCUGCGCGCCACGUAAGCUUGGUAGUUUUUAGGGUCUACAAUCACUCUUGGCAAGAUUUAUGCAUUGUUCUACUAAGAAGCAUAUUGAGAUAACCAAAAGGGUUCUGAGGUAUAUACAAUGGACCAUUGACUAUGAAAUUGAAUUUGAGAAAGGGAAGCAAGCUAUUCUUAUUAACUAUUAUGACAGUGAUUGGAAUGGGAGUGAGGAUGAUAUGAAUAGAACAUUUGGAUAUUCUUUAACAUUUAGCAGUGGUGUGUUUUCCUAGGCUUCUGUGAAACAAAAUAGUGUUGCUUUCUUAACUGUAGAAGUUGAGUAUGUCAGUGCAGCUAAGGCAACAACUCAAGCCAUUUGGUUGAGAUUUGCUUUAAAGGAUUUUGGAGAGAUGCAGGCAGAAGCUACCCCUCUUAUGUGUGACAACGUAUCAACAAUAACCAUGACCAAGAACCUAGUCUUCCAUCGAAAGUCCAAACACAUCAACAGAAAGUACCAUUUUAUUAGAGAAGCUCUGCAACAGAAUGUGAUUGAGCUUAUUUACUGCAAGAGUGAAGAUCAGCUUGUUGAUAUCUUUAUUAAAGCCCUUCCUAAAGGUCGAUUUUGUUACCUUAGAGAACUCAUUGGUGUGAAAUCAGUAAACAACUUGGAAGGGAAUGUUGAUAAUUAAGUUGUUUUCAAAUUUCUUUAUUUGCUUAUGUCAUUUUCUCAUAGGACAAGCGUAAGGUCUAGAUUCAAUCUCUUAUGUAAGACUUUUAUGUCCUUGUAUUAGCCAAGUGUCACCUUGUAUGGCUAAGAUUGGAUUCUGUGCUAAAAGGAAUGUAAGAGAAUGUUGGUUAUGUGCUCUGCAAUUAUUUGAGCAGCCGCAUACAAUGAAAUAAAAAGUUUUCCUUUUACAUAAAUUGUGUGGCCGAUCUUUCUUCUUCUUCAAUCCAAAAUUAUAAAUUGAUUAUUCAAAACAAGCUUUGUUUAUACUAUAUUUAGGGCCUCGUAUUUAGACCUCGUAUAAAUAUUCGAGGGACUUAAAUGUAAUUAUGUAAUAAAGGAAUGGGCAAAUAUGUAAUUAGGGGAUGAGCCCUUAUUCUAUAAAAGGGCCUCCUCACCCUCACAAACCCUAAGCCUCUCCUAUCUAGGGCAAAGCUCUCACACUCUCUCCCUCAUUUCUCAGAGAAAUACAAUACAAUCAGUGUGGACGUAGCCCAAACCUUGGGGUGAACCAUGAUAACUCUUCUGUUAUUUACAUUUCAUGCAAAUUCACUGUCGAAUUAACAUUGUACCAAGACCUCCGGUUUUGUACAUCAACAUUUGCCGCCGUCUGUGGGAAUUGAUACGAAAAGUUGUGUUGGUUCUCUUUCAUUUUUUUCGCCUCCACCGUGAAUCUGCAAAAUCAUAAAAACCCAGAAACAGAAAACACCCAGAUCUCAUUUUAAAGAUACCACAUUUUUUCCAAUCAUUUCCUAGAAAAACCCAGAAACAUAAAAAAUCCAGAAUCUGAAACACUCAAUCUCUCUCUUCUCUCUCUCCUCGCUCUCCUCCGCGCUCUCAAUCUUGGCUCUCCUUCCCCACCAUCUUAACCGUCUCUCUCAGACUCAAUCAGACAAAGGAAGCCGCCGGAAAGAAAUGAACCAAUUUCCAGGAUCCAUAUCCCUAACCCCAUACGACCUGUCCUGUUCUUCGAAGCUCGUCCGACCUUCUGGGUUCGAGCCUUAAAGAUCGUCGUUUCCCAUUUUCACAACCUCGCCCACGAUGGAGCCCGACCGCGCCCACUUCGCGACUUUGAAUCGGAGAAAUGCCGGAGAAGGGGCUACGCUGGCCGUCAUCGCAGCAGUGGACAUGGAGUCAAAGGUUCGGCCAUCUGCUUCAAUGGCGAGUUGGGUUGUUAAUGGCAGUGGUUAUCGUCGAAAUGAUGGUGGUUUGGAGCUUCGAUGCCACAACUAUGCAGAGCUUCGUCGAAGCUACGAGGUCCCGCCAAGCUUACCUCAUUACAAAGGAAGUAUGGGUCGGGUCGCAGCUGGGUUUGAGCCUAAUUUAACAAAGAAUCUUCUGGCUCGGUGGCUAGCUCCGGGGGGAGAGCCCUGUAAAGAUUCUAAAACGCGAGAAGCUGGGCGUAGAGAGCCAAGAUUGAGGCAGAAUGGUGGCUAUUUGGUCUUGUAGCAGUUUAUCGGGGAUCAACCUGAGCUACACCAUUCUCACUUUCUACAUUCAACAGCGAGGGAUGAGGUUCCGAGAUCAAUCUUCGUCGUCCCCAUAUGAGACGCCAUCGUCGACCCCAACCUUGGGAAUGCCGUCGUCAACGUUUCAGCAGCAACAGCUGCAGACACUGUUGUUUAACCUUCAGCAGCUUUAUUCUCCUAGCGCCUUAGAACCUGAGGGUCCAUUCUAUAUGCCCUCGUUUGAAGAGCCGACGCCCUUCCCUGACGUCAACUUAAUGAAUAAGAUUGAUCCUGUUGAUCUUAUCCAUUUCUCCCUCCCCAGUCGCGAUAGUCAAACUCAGGAAAAAGACCUCUGACCCGACUCGACUUCUCCGUCUUCGACGCCACUGGAGCUGACAACCCCUCUUCUUCGUAUAUCUAUCUCCUGCUCCUCCUGCAGCUACCCCAAAACCAAGUCUCAAAUCCGCCCUCAAACGGCCGAAGCCCACUGAAUCGACCCCAGAAGAAACUCUGCCGGAAAAGAAAAGGUUGAUAUUUAAGACCACGAUGGAUGCCUCAGAGCAAACGGGUGAAAGAGGCUGCAAAAGAUAGCAUCACAUAUAAAGACUCUUGCGAAAUUCAGUAAGGCAUCAAAGCUUGCCAUCCAGCUGAUUCAGGAGGGAAGCGUCAAGGCUGAAACCAAUGAUCUAUUUAUUUAUUUUUUUCAAAAGCCACAAUGGCAUCUCUCACUGCUUGUACUGAUCCUUCCAUGCGAGCUGACUUCCAUGCACUGUUUUCAGCAGCACAAGAUACCUCUGAGUGUCUCAGUAAAAAGCAGAAAAAUUAAUUAACUACGGUCUCCAUCUUCCACUGCGUCAGCGCCGGCUUUGCUACUUUCCAACUCGUCGUCUCUAUCUUCCACGGUGUCGGCGCGGGCUUUAGUGUUUUCUAACUCAGGAAAACGAAUUGACCAGGCGGAGAAGAAGAAGUACCUGAAGCAGGUGACGGGGCGGCACAACAACACAGAGCUUCAGGGGAGAGAUUCUAUUUAGGGCCUCGUAUUUAGACCUCGUAUAAAUACUCGAGGGAUUUAAAUGUAAUUAUGUAAUAAAGGAAUGGGCAAAUAUGUAAUUAGGGGAGGAGCCCUUAUUCUAUAAAAGGGCCUCCUUACCCUCACAAACCCUAAGCCUCUCCUAUCUAGGGCAAAGCUCUCACAUUCUCUCCCUCACUUCUUAGAGAAAUACAAUACAAUCAGUGUGGACGUAGCCCAAACACGAUAACUCUUGUGUUAUUUACAUUUCAUGCAGAUUCACUGUCGGAUUUACGUUGUACCAAGACCUCCGGUUUUGUGCAUCAACAAGCUUCAACACCCUAUGCUCUUCAUAAGCCACUCGAAGACAACCGAUAAGGGCAUCUAGGCGUGUGCCGGAGUGGGCAUAGACAAGGGUUUGCUGUGUUAGGGAGUCCAAAGAAAGGGCAAAUAUGAUUUUGAAAGGAUAAUAUUACAGUCACCUACGCCAAGAAUAAAUCUCGUUGUGGUUGGAGGAUGAGGAGGAUGGAAGAAGUUUGAACAAUUAGGGUUCUUCAUGAUUAAAUGUGCAAUUAUAAUUACAAUAAUAAUUUAUAGUAAAACAAGGAGAACUAGUGCCAUAUUGGAAAUCAAGCACCUUUGUGGCUCUCCUCACCUGAAUUCGAGGCUCUUGCAUCUCUUUUUCCCCUUUCCUCUUAGAACCCCAUCAGUUGUACCAUCUCUCUAAUAGAAGUAUGAUCUACCAAUGCAUAUGAGUCUCAUCUACAUUAGAGAGAUAGUACAAAUAGAUGGUAAGAAUAACACCUUUGAUUUUAAAUUGUGUUUCUCAUAUAGAUAUACAAAUAGAUAAAAAUUUAGGAGCCCUCUUUGAGAUAUGGUGUUAGGUUAGAUAAUAACUUAUAUGGAGCGAGUUCACAGCUACGUGACAUCUUGACCCAAUCAUACAUUGUCAUGUGAAGAGAAACUUGCACAUGAUAAUGCAUUAUUGGACAAAGGAUUUGAUGUAGCAGCGAACCCUAUCCAUAUAAGUCCUUCUCCUUGGGCCAUUGCACUUGUCGCCCUUGCUCAGGGACAACCUUAAUAGGACCAUUUAUUUAUACCAAUGAGACAUUUAGGCAGCCACUUGGAAAGCUCAUAAGAAGUAAAAGUCUGUUUACUUAUCAUGUAUGGAAAUGUGAAUGAAUGGGUAUUAAUUCUCAAUCCUUCUUUUAUUAACACCUAGAGACCAAUUAAUUUUGGGUAUGAAAUACCUAAAAAAUGAAGGAAUCCUAAACAUAGGAGAGAUUGUUAUUUGUUCAUCCAAUAUCUAAUCAUUCACAUCUCCAUUCCUAAUCCCUCUUUUAUUAUUAUUAUUAUUUUUUUAUUUUAUAAACCCCGCCCCACCCCCACUAGGCCUCGAACCUGGGACCUAAUCUACCCCAACUCCUAAUCCCUCGUUCCUUCAUGUCCUCAUAUCAUGUAACAAUGCUCUGAAACUCUUCAGACACUUGAGUGUUGCUAAAGAAAGUUGAUAUUUACCCUAAAACUAGUUGGUUAUAGAGAAAGCCGUAACCCAACUCCUUAUUUGCAAGAUUUUUUUUUUUUUUUUCAAUGACAUUUACACUCUCAAUAGUGACUACAAGGUAGAAUGGGUAGGACCACUUACGUAUGGUUUCUCAGAUAUUUUCCUACGCUUUUGGGGUGGGCUGCAACUUAAUUAACAAUUAACUUCUUUAUCAAAAACCAAUCACAAUUAAGUGUUUAAACAUAUUAAGUUGGGCUAAUCUCAACUUCCAAUUGUGGGUUUGGGCUUCUGUCUUCUGAGUGCAUGUGAAAGGAUUGCAAUUGCUUCUUAAACAUUGGUCCUGAUAUGUAUGCAAUUCGAUUUGUCAAUAUAAUCUGGAUAUGGAUAAUUUUAGAAAGAAAAAAAACGACAGUUUGUUUGACCAAACUGCCAGAAAAAGGCCAACAAGGGGGGCAUACGGCCGCCAAUGUCUUAAAAAGAAAUGCCAAAGAUGGCUUGGCACCCACCACUAGGACAAUAAAGUAGUAUGACCUCACUCUGCAGCUGGCUGGCUGGCUGGCCAGCCAUCAAAACCCUCACCACCUCACACAUUACAUCAUAAUAAUUCCCAUAAAUGCGUGCACCUCCAUAAUUUUGCUUUGCCAAUCCAGUCGCCACCUUAUCAAUUAAACAAACGUAGUCAAAGACCUGUAGCUCACCUGAAUAAGAACGUAUUUUUAUCUUUGUAUCUCAAAUUGUAUUUGAUUUUCAAUACAUUUGUAUAUCACUUUCAUCAAAAUAUAUAUUAUUGAGAAUAUGAAUCUCACAUCAGAUAAGAAAAGACUUUGUAUGUGCUUAUAGGAAAUUAGACUAUUCUAUAUAUUGUCAAUAGUUUUAUAGUGAAACCUCAAUUUUCUUCACCGUAUCAGAAUAGGUUGACCCACAUGUGAGGCUCUCAGCGACCACACAUGCUCCAUAUCAUCCAAUUAUGUUGUCUACAUGUUUGGCUUGAAAAUUCGCCACAUGUAAGGGUUUGUGAGGAUGUGAAGGUAAACGAGUCCCACAUUGGUGAAAAGGGAAAGUUUACAAGAGUUUAUAAGAGGUUGGAAACCUCUACAUUGCCAAUUGGUUUCUCAAUAGAACCUUAAUUUUGUUCAUGAUCUCAGAGGAUGUUGUCCCAUUUGUGAAGGGCGCGUAUUGAGAGUUUAAAAAUUCCCCACACGUGAAAGGCGUAUUGAGAGUUUGAAUUCUACAUCAAAAAAGAAGAGACAUUUCAUGUUCUUAUAAAUAAUGGAAAAAAUCUAACCUUUCUUUAUAUAUAAAUACAAAUAAAUGAAAAUACGUCAAUGUAUCGUCACAAAAUGCUCAAAGCGCUUUUCAUGGCGAAAUGGAGAUUUGCUUUUUCUUCCUAAUCAAAGAAAACAUUCCAACACAUAUUCACCUAUCAGAUUAGACCAAACUAAUUUAUUAUAGCACACCACCAUGCACUAUAUAUCCUGCAUGCCACAACCCAUAUUUUACCAUCAAAUUUGACAUCAAAGUAUUUUUUUCCAUCGGAAAAAGAAACAUUAGUAUGGAGGGGAAGAGAGGACCAGAGAAUAAUAACCAGCAGAGGGAGCCGAAGGUACGAGGUCAAAACCCGUAUAGAGGGAUUCGGAGGCGGCCGUGGGGUAAGUUUGCAGCUGAAAUUCGUGACCCUACGAGAAAUGGAGCACGGCUAUGGUUAGGCACAUUUGAGACAGCUGAGGAGGCAGCAAGGGCUUAUGAUCGAGCUGCUUUCGGCUUUCGAGGCCAUUUAGCCAUACUCAAUUUUCCAAAUGACUACCAAUAUCACAACCCUUCAAGCUCUAUGAGCACUUUAUCUUCGUCUUCAUCUUCUGCUUCUUCCUCAUCUUUAUUUCCGGGCGUGGAUCCUGGAAGGAGUAUUAAUUUUGGAAGAGGCCAGGAAGAAGACGAAGUUAUUGAGUUUGAGUAUUUGGACAACAAUCUCUUGGAGGACCUUCUUGAUACAAAAGAAGAUCAUCAUAGGCAGGGGCAACCAACACAGUAAGCAAAGAAGUUCACGGAUAUUUAGCAUUCUUUGUUUGGGUUUUUCCUAUUUAACUCUUUACCUCCAAAAAAUUGAAAAUAAGAGGUACUUUUAAUUUGCAUCAUCUGAAUUUGUUCCAUAGUCUCCAACUGUUACUGUUGAUUUUUUUUUUUCAUAGAAAUUAUCAUUUGGUUGAUUUAAUUCGGAGUACAAUCAUAAUCUUGAAAGAUGAGAUAUUGAAUAGUUUUAAGAAGAUUGUAGUGCCAAACUAAUGCGCUGCCCAAUUGAUAAAGCGGGGAUAUUGCUAACCGAUGAACAGAAAAUUUUCAUCUUAGACAAAGGACUGAGAACCCCUUGUUUCUAUGAUCCAUUAUCCCAACCAAUUUUCAUCUUAGACAACAUACAAAUGGUAGUUUUAUUAAGUUAUUAACACACCACAAUUUGUUGAACACAUUUCAUUUAAAAAUUUAGAAAAAUGUUAGAGAUAUCAUAUUUUGUACUACAUUAGUGUACAAUCUAAUGUGACAAGUGGUGUGUGCUACGUCAAUUAAUUAUUUCAUUGGAUGUUAAUCGUAUGCAUUACUUGCCAUGGAGGAUGUAGAGCGACGACAUAAAUUUAUCAUUUUAUAUUGUUUUUGUUUGACAAUUUCCAAGAAUUAUCUUGAAGUUUGGUUUUGAUUUCUCUUUAGGGGGAGUUUGCUAGUUUGAUUUCUCUUUAUAGGAGAGUUGCUUCAUUUUAAUUUUUUUUGUUUUGGUGUACAUCUCUUUUGGAUCUAUGUGUGAAGGGUGGAGUUGUUUGAUUUGUUAGAUCUACUUCACUUGGUGCUCUGAGAUCGUGGUGGCUCAUGGGCAUCUUUCUCCCUGUCCCAAUAUGAUUUGAGAUUUUUGUUCUCACAUGAUCGCUGUGUAACACGAGAUUUAAUGAUUUUAUUGAUCUGUGCAAUCUUGCGGUUCCUAACACACCCCGAUCUAAAUCAGGGCAUGCUGGCCGUCACGUGAGAGUGACGUAACCAUGUGCACAAUGCGGAAGCAAAAGAGAUAUAAGGAAUUUCAAAUGAAUAAAAACCAAACUACUAGCAGUACUAGCUAAGAUAAAGUGCUAGUACGAGAUUAAGUGUGAAAUACACAACUAGAGCAUAAAUAGCCUAAGUGCAAUCAAGCAUAACAAGUACUAAUUAUACAACACCCAAGGGUGAUCCUACAUUUAUGAUGUUCUGUCAGAACCACCGUUGAAAUC